rnacentral:lncRNA from 1 species
AGGUACAAUGAUGAAAGAAAGAGAGGAAAAUGAAAGCAGCAGCAGCAGCAGGUGUUUAUUAAUGGUCUCUGCCUGCAGACUGUAUGUUUUGUCCCGGUGGAGAGGGCAGGAAUUCAGCCUGUGAAGGUGCCGGCGAUUUCCAAGCUCUAACAGCCUCCGCUGCUACUGCUGCAGAGCUGGGCAAAGAAGAAGAAGACAAAAAUGCAACACAACAAACGAGAGAGAGAGAGAGAGAGAGGAGAAGAGAGUACUUACUACUGCUAUCGUUAGUUACAAAACAAACACGCCAUAUUCCAGUUAUUCAUCUCCCAUUUUUGACCCUUUUCUCAACUUAUUUGGUGGUUAUAGCUUUUUGAGUUAAUGAUUUUAUUUUUCGGCACAAAAUACCUGGUUAACCAAUAGUAAAACGGGCUACAAAUACACAUUUCAGUACAAAUUCAUGUCUUCAUAUCCUACGUUAAUUGGUCUGAGAGAUUAUAUAUGAACAACAUUCUACUACUCAAAAGACUCAACGUCUUGCUGCUGCUGCUACUACUACUAGUCAAUUCUCGUCUCAAAGUCUGUACACAACAUCCCCCAGGCUGCUUUCGAGUCAGACCCCAUCCGUGUCAUGUCAUCAUCAUCUUUUAGAUUUUCUCGAGCAACUUAACUUUGUCUAGCAAUUCUUGGAUCGUUUUCGAUGCGUCCUACGCAUAUCAAACACCCAUCGGCUACCAUCAACAAGCACAUAGAUCAUAUAAUAUAUAAGAGUGAAGAGAUUGAGAGAGAGAGCUGUAAUGUAACCUUCAACUUCUUCCUCAAAUUAUCCUCUUCCUUCUCCCUCCUCUCCUUCUCCUCUGAGAAUAUUUCAAUUAGACUCUCUUGUUCUUUGUUCAGAUCAUCAAUCUUCUGCUCUGCUUUAUCCAACUGCACAUAUACCACACCACACCACAUAAAAAACAAAGACAAAAUUAUCCACAUCUUAUUGUAUGUACCAAAAACAGUUGCAAAUUUAUUUACAACCUUUGUCUUUAGAGCACUGCACUUCUGGCACUUCAAACUCAUCAAUCGAAGCUGUCCCUCCCGCCUCUCCAAUCUACAAUAUGCAAAUUACACUCCAUAAAAGGAAACAGAAAUCCAAAACCCAGAAGAAUGAACAUUACUUCCUAUGCUAGCUAACCUUUCCUUCAGUUCGCGGUUCUCUUGCUUCAGCCGCUCGUCAUUAGCUUCUGUAUCGACACGUGGUUGGACAUCUUCACCUACAUUUUCCACAACCACCUGCAAAAGGAACCAAUUAACUACUAUUGUCUACCAAAAUAAAUAAAAAGGAUUAAGGGUGAAAAGACUUUCUCAAACGUAAGCUUUGCCGUCAAUUGCUUAAUCACAAGCCAAACCAACCAUUAUUGUCCACAUACCACACAGUUAGAUGACAAACAUAUCAUUGAAACUACCUUCUCCUGGGUAUGUAUGGCAGCAGGUGGAACAUAUUCUCUAGCUGGAGUGGAGCCUUUAUUGCGAGAUCUUGUAUCUCCUGAGCGUGUGAAAUACGGAGUUUCAUGCAACACUGUACCAAAUGAUUUCCUGGUAGGAGUGCUACUACUUGCUUUUAUCAGAUGGGAAGAAUCACGCAUGUUACUUUCAUUUGGAUCCACCGAUGAAGGUUCAUUAGAUUCCAAUACUUUUCUAGAUUUAACUUGAGACCUUGUUACACUGUUUCCUUUCCCUGAAUAAUGUUGCUUCCCAUCUUGCACAUCUUUCCCGGAUCUUUCUGAUGCUUUUCCUCCUAAGUUCUGACCAAGUGAGGAGGUUGCUUCUGCCAAAGAAGUUUUAUUAUAGCAUUUGCAUAAAGAACAUAGGUGACUUGAACCAACCAAUAUAAAUCACAUAACCGAAUGAUGCUAAAUUAAACGGGACAGGUUCAAGGAAGGUCCAGUUAGACAGUGUCCAAUUAGUUUCUGUGGACACACAAAGACACGCACAAAACCAUGGUGUUGUUCUGAGUUACCUGCUUCUUCACUUGCCGCUUUCUUAUUACGUCUCGGAGCAUAGCCAAUCUUGUGACAGUUGGAACCCCUAAAGAAACAAGCAUUCAGAGCAUUAAUCACAGCCAUCCUUCGGCACUGAACAAAAUGUUCAGCAAAUUCACAUUGAAGAAAGAAAUAACAAACCAGUAAUUCUUUUGCAUUUGUAUUAGACGAGACUCAAGCCUUGCCAGAACAGUUGUACGUUCAAAACCCUGCUUAUCAUGGGCUGGUUCAACAAAAUUAGCUUCUAAGACACCUACAAGCAAGAUAUCAAACCAAGUCAGAAAUAUUGCAGCUAACUACCCAACCAAAAAGAGAGACAAAAGGAUGCUGCACUUCUUCAAUUUGUAGACAACUGCCAACAGAAAAUUGAAGACUCAAAUUACCUAUAACUCCACGACCAUCGCUUCCUGCAGCAUUCCAGAGCCUCCAAAAUGGCUGAAGACAGCAUAUUAGUUCAAGAAUCGUGAAGGAGGGAAGAUAAAACAGAGCAUCCAGAUGAGAAACUAGCACAAGCAUUGAUACACCCUCAAACCGAUCAACAAUUUAAUGGAAGAAAAAACUCUAAACAAACUGUUAAAUCAAGAUACAAAUUUGAAAGUCAGUGUCCACAAGGGUGUAUUUAAGCAAACAUGCUUGGAUGAUUAACAACAGAAAGACGAAUUUACAGAUUAUUCCUAUAUCACUCCAGUCAUGAUAAACUAACCUUGAUAAGCCGAUUCUUGUGAUAGACAUUGAACCCUUGAACAUCAAUGUGGUACUUUGCAUCCUUGACAAAUCCAAUAGUAACAAUGGCAGUUAUCUGAUUUGAACACAGCAGACGAUUAGUGACGUAUAACGAAUCCGAACUUUCAAUACAUUGUGUGUGGUAAGUAUGAUAUAUUACACUACUAUAGUCCUUCAUCACCCCAUCAAUACUAGCCUGCGGCCGAUAUGUCACCUCCUCAGACAUCAUCAUGUCAUUUACUAUAUUGUGGUGCUCAACAUCUUUUCCCCGAAGGAUGAUCCGAAAGCUAGGAGGAAUUCUGAGAUAGAGAAUUGAAGCAUAACUCUGGCAUUGAAAAUUGGAAUGGUGAUCCAUCAAUAAGGUCAAGCAUGCCCAUAACACACAAAUUAACGAGAAAGAGAGAAAAUUCCCAAACUUCACCAGUUUCAUUUUGCCAUAAUAUGAGAUCAUGAAUCCUCUCGUCGCAAGAAAUAUGUAAUAGUAAUGAUUAAGGUACUGAAAACGUGCAAUAGUCUAGACAAAACUGACCUUGCAACAUAGUUAAAACAUUUUAGAUUUUAGGAUAGGGGCUCCGUGACAUGAAAUCAGAUUACUGUGAUCCGUCCUUCACUCCUAAUUUCUAGACAACUUUUAGAAAACUGAAAAGAGUAUUACACAAAAAAUUGAAAAAUAUGUAACAUGCACACAAGAAAAGGAUACAUUAUUUACAAUAGUCCAAACAUACUGACCCCAAAAUAGCAUUAACAUCUUAAAGACGGGAGUUACUGUUAUAUUUCAAUCACUGCUAGUGACAACAAGACGAUUGAAACAGAUUUGAUACCCUUAAAGAAUGUCUAUAGGUGAGGAAGUGCCUAGAAUUGGGAUACUCUUGAGCCAUUUGUAUGUUUUUCUCUUCCCGAUUAACACCUCGGAGUUGUAUGUCCUGUCAGAAUAAGGAGAAGAAAAACAAAUAGAGGAAGUAUGAAAAGAUUGUGGUUAAACCACCAAUAAACAUCAGCGAGAAAAUGGCAGAAAUCUGCAUCGUAAACAUACAUGAGGGUCGGAAUCAAAAUCAAGCUCCAAGAAUCCUUCGUCAUCCUCCCAAAGAUUGUAAAUUAUUAUGCGUGUUCCAUGAUCUGGUAACACAUCCAACUAAAGAGAAAAUAAAAUGAAUAAGGUAGACAAAAAGAUCGAUGUUAUAACAUGACAAUGGAAACACAUAACAAGUCCCUACAGAUACUACAAAAGCAACCGUCUCUGUGAACUGCAACGGCAUAUCAUGUCGAGCCAAACUAUGGAAGUAGCUUGCUCAGGAAAGAUCAUUUAUCCAUGCUCAUAGAUUACUUUUACGAUCACGUAAACAGAGAAAUCACCUUCUAAACUCCUACAACUCCCUCACGAAAAUGGAGAACAAAUUGAACCAUCUAAUGCCCUUCGUAGAGAACGGUUGAAUUAGACAAGCAUUUUUACCCAUGUAAUUAAACAAUGAGGAAGUGCCAGAAGAAAUCACCUCAUGCAGAAGAUCAGUCUCGCUAGCAAAUGGAGACCACUGAAGAAUAGUUUUCACAGUUCUUGUCCAAUCAUCAUCAGAAAGUGGAGCAAUCCUGUUUGAUUUCUUUCCUACUCUUUCAUAGGCAAGCUUUCCAUAUAAAAUAAUAAGAUAGGAAAAGUUAGUAGUGCAUGAUAUCUAUAAUCGUUCCAUUCAUGAAGCAAGAACCAGAAAGAAAAUCCAAAAUGACCAAGGACCAAUAACUUGUACCAUAAAGUUUCAACUUGUAGAACACCCAAGGCUGACAGACUCCGGUAUCUUACCAAACAGUUAAAUCUAUCAGGUCAAAUUAGUGAGAUAUGUUCCAAAGGUCAAUAUUUGCAGACCUUUUCUAAACAGAAUUUAAUUCUGAAACUACCUGCUAUUUCUAGUAUAUGAAUGAUUUUGUAAUAAAAGUAUACAUAGUAUUCUGGAAAUAAUCAUGCAUAGGUAGUUCAGUAGUUACCAUUGGAACUACAAUAUCCUCUUUUCCUGUACUCCGCAGGAACGUGUAUGAUAGCAGUCCAAUGCUCUGGGUAGGUCUACAAAUAGAAGAGAGUAAGCCAGAUUACUUCAAAGCAUAAAAUAAAACAAAAAAUUUGAUAUUAAGAAGUUCUCAUUGAAAAGGACAGUAAGAGGGAUUUGAAAGUCUGAAAUCUCCAAUCCACAACCCUAUUUCAUUUCAAAGUUGGAGACAAGAAGACUAUUAUGGAUUUCGUCUUCCCGUACAGAAGUGUCAUGAUUCGAACACUUUUUAACAUCAUGACUUAACAAUUUCAGAAUAAGACUGAGAAGUAACUAUAGUGAUCACGUUCUCAGAGAAAUUUAAGCAAAAUUUGAUUGCUAAUAGUUCACAAUAGCUUCCAGUGCUAUCAAUCUACUCCUGGUUUCAUGGGUUGGCUACAUUUUAUAGGCGGAACUUCAGCACUUAUUGCACCCAAUUCUGGAUUUUAAAUGGACGAAAGAAGGAAAUCACCUAUUAAAAGAGCAACCACCAAUCCAGAGGCAACGAAAAACAUAUCCACUAUGGUAAACUAGGAAGUUGGUUCAGUACCCCUUGCCAUUUUGCCCAGAACAUCGAGAAAAUACAAUAACAUCAGCACCAAGCCUCAUGGUACUAGUCUUGAACCCAUUGCCAUCUGACAAAAAAGGAAAACUUGCUCAUUCCUUGUUCAUCAGGCAAACAGUACAAUAAGUUACACCUCAACAUGGAGCUUCUUAUACAACUGAAGAAUUGAAAAGCUUCAGCAAAGUACAGUGAGUUACACUGUCCAAUGGUGCUAUCCAUUUUGCUCUUUGCAGAAAAACCUAAAGACAUGCACUUCCGCAUUUUAUCUGAAUCCAUCCCACCCCCAUUGUCUGCAAAGGGAAAAAUGCAGACAAAAAAAUGAAGGGUACAAAUCAACGAAAGAUAGAAACAAACCAUAACGUUUUGACAAUGAAAAAGAUAAUUCUCAAUAAGGACUCCAACAGAAAUUAGUACCACUUGUUUUUCCCUAUUUUGUGCUUAAAAGUAAGAGUUUGGAGGUUGUAAGUUUGUGUUUAGGGUUUAGAAUAUAGUUUUAUGGGUUUAGUGUCUAAUUUUUUUAGGUUUAUGAUCAAUAAAUUUUGAUUUAAGGUCAAAAGUUAGAGUUUGUGAUACGAUUUAGAAUUCGAGUUUAUGAUGCAAUAUAUUUAUAUAUUAGCAGACAUUAAAUUAUGAAUGAACUAUUCCUAAAUUGCAGUUUCAGUAAAUAAACUUAGAAGGGAUCGGACCUCAUAAUUCAACAACAGAAGCAUGCAACAAACAUAUUAGAAGGAACUGCCAAAAGAUAAGUACCUUCAAUCAAUAGCAUUGGGCUACCAUCUUUCUUAUUUUUCAGCAUGUCUAUCUUCACUAGUGUCGCCCCAUUACAGACCUGCGCUCCAAUGUAAGGAAUUCAACCGAAGAGCAAAGCAAAUUACAAGACAUAUAUGGCUUUGAGACAUUACCUCAUCCAAUGAAUUGUCCAAAAGUUCGGCGAAGGCUGCACACGGGUUGAAAGAAAUACAAGAAAAUUAAAUGAAAUAUAGUAAUGGCCGAUGAAAAUAACAAGGUGGCUAACAGGAUUACCUCCAAGAGCCCACUUGUGGCUGGUUGCAUUGGAAUGUAAGAACUUGGGAUGAACCCUAACACGCUCCAUACCACCUACACAGAUGAAACAAAUGCAACUUACCAAACAUGGCACAUGAUUUCAUUCAAAUCUAUUUACUGAUCUUACCAUGAAUAGAAGCUGACUAAAUUAACUGACCUAAAACGAAAUGCAUGAUGAUAGGAGGGAAGCAAUUACCAGAAGAAACCUCGCAAUCGGCAACCGUUCCUCCUUCUACUUCAUAGUCUCCGGCUUUCCAAAACUGCUUGGAGUUCUGAACAUUCACCAUUAGACUACCGUUGUCCCUUGACUCCGGCGGCGGCCGCAUGACGGCUAAGGCCCUGGGAGUCNNNNNNNNNNNNNNNNNNNNNNNNNNNNNNNNNNNNNNNNNNNNNNNNNNNNNNNNNNNNNNNNNNNNNNNNNNNNNNNNNNNNNNNNNNNNNNNNNNNNNNNNNNNNNNNNNNNNNNNNNNNNNNNNNNNNNNNNNNNNNNNNNNNNNNNNNNNNNNNNNNNNNNNNNNNNNNNNNNNNNNNNNNNNNNNNNNNNNNNNNNNNNNNNNNNNNNNNNNNNNNNNNNNNNNNNNNNNNNNNNNNNNNNNNNNNNNNNNNNNNNNNNNNNNNNNNNNNNNNNNNNNNNNNNNNNNNNNNNNNNNNNNNNNNNNNNNNNNNNNNNNNNNNNNNNNNNNNNNNNNNNNNNNNNNNNNNNNNNNNNNNNNNNNNNNNNNNNNNNNNNNNNNNNNNNNNNNNNNNNNNNNNNNNNNNNNNNNNNNNNNNNNNNNNNNNNNNNNNNNNNNNNNNNNNNNNNNNNNNNNNNNNNNNNNNNNNNNNNNNNNNNNNNNNNNNNNNNNNNNNNNNNNNNNNNNNNNNNNNNNNNNNNNNNNNNNNNNNNGUUAAUAAGAUAAACAUUAAUUUUAAAAAAUUAAUAUUACAUAUUAAUUAAUUAAUUAAUUACUUAAAUAAAAUAAAAAAUUAACUAUUAAAAUUAAUCAUUUAGAUUAUAAAUAAUUUUUAUUACCACGCUCUAAAAUUAUUCUAUUUUAUAGUACGAAUUUCAGCUUUUAUAGUGAAAGUUAACAUUGACUAUUAGAAAAUAGAAAAAUUAAUGGUGUUAUGUUGAAAGAACACAACUUUCAUGUGCUUGAUAGCAUGGGGUGAAUCAAAAGAUAAUUAACCAGCGAGUUAGUAAUCGUCCAUUAACCCAUCCAUAAUUAUAAGUGGAUGUAAAUUGUGUAAUUGAUCAGGAUUGGAUCGACUAACUCACUCAUAAUUAUACCAUUUAAGGUUUUUGUUUCAUCUCUUCUAAAUUCUGAUAUAUAACACUCAUUGCUAAAAAGUAUAUAUUCAUUACUCAAAUUUUUGUUAAUAACUUGUGAAUGUUGCCUUCGAUUAUUAGUGUAUGAGAUUUGCCAUAGGAAGCUCAAUAAAAAAUGAUCUAACUCAAAGCUUCUUACCAUUCACGAGAAUUUAUACUAACCCAUCCAUCAUCGGCCAAAACCAACAAGUCAUGCAACAACAUGAGUUGGUUGUAUCACAAACCUAACCCAACCCACCCCCCAAAGCUCAGACCUACUGCAAACUGGGAGAGAAACAUGAUAUUGCUCGCCAACAGACAAGAGAAGAGUCGCAUGGUUAAACCAUUGACUUGGUCAUUAUUUUGAAACAUUUUUGUGAGUAUUAACUAGAGUCUAUGUUUAUACAUGUCCAAGGCAAAACGAGCACUGUGCCACCAAAUGAAUUCGGCAUCUCCAACCAAAGUUCACAAGACCAAGAUUGAAGCCAUAACUACCACCAUAAAUAAACUCGUUAUUCUUUCAAUACAAAAGGUAUUAAAGCAAUAACUACCACGUAUUGAGAAUAUCCCAAGAACAGCAAAAGUCAAGCUUACAACCAGAACUAACUACAAAAGCACAUAACUUAACAAAUACACUACACCUAAAACAAAAGGCCAAUUCAUUUCAAGUUCAAUAAAAUAGAGUAUAGGGUAAUGACAGGGAGAGAUUGAGCUUGUCAAGCAGAACAACAAGGUAAGGUCAGCUCAGCACCAUUUGUUCAGACAGAAACAAGUUACAAAUUAGGGUUUAUGGUACAAACAAAACCUAGUUGGCUAUCUUUUUUUUUUCGGGGGAUAAGUCAAUUAGUCUGACAUGUCAAACAGAGGCUUACCGCCAAUUUCUCCUGCUAGAAUUGCUCUGUGGCUUACCAUUCCUGUAUCAGCUACCUAAUCAUCAUCUCCAUCAUCCCCUCCCGCCUCAGCAGUAUCAUCAGCUUCGUCAUCUUCAUCUUCUUCAUCCUCAUCUGACAUGUUAUUAAUAACCUCUGUUAUAACAUCCUUCACCUCUGCUUUUCUGUGCAUUAGAUCUACGUUGAAGUGUUUACCUGAUACAGCCAAAAACAAUUUGGAUGGUUGGCAGCGAUGAAGAAAUCAAAUUACUAGAGAGAUUUAAUUUAGUACAAUCAAACCAUACCAAGUUUCUUGAGAAUAUCAGACAAAGUUGCCUGCACAAUUUCAGCACAAGAGAAUUGUUUAGGCACAAUACCAACAAGCAUAACUCAAACAAGUGCCAACUGAGUACUCACUGUAUUAAAAUCAACUUCUUUCAGGAUGUCAACAACGACUGCAUGCAACUCUUCUCUUGUGGGUUCAGUCUUGGCCUUCUUGCUUGAUUUUCCUUUCCCUAUAAUUUUGGCCAAUAAAAAACAAGGUAAUCAAAAACUACGAACGCAGAGCGGAUGCCAGCAAGAAGAAAUGCACUUCAUUUUCUUUCCGCAUGGCAAUUUGUUAUACGGUUAAUGAAUACCGAACUAGGAGUGUGAAUGAGGAGCCAUAUAUACUCUAUAACUCAAGAACCAUAACCAAAAACUCAUGCAUACUUAUCAACAUAUCUUCAAACAAACCUUGAUCUUUUGCAGAAACUUUUCCAGUUGACUUGCCUGCCAAGUUUUUCUUAGUGAUUUCCUUUGCUGAAAUAUCUUGCUCUUCAGCCUUGCGUUUCCUUGAUGCAGGUCUCUUGGAUUUAGAAACUGAACCAGAACCUACAUCAGUAUCUGGACCUGGUUUUGCUGAAGGAGCAGAUGACUUGUUAGAUCUUGAUGUACUCUUCACGGCCUUAGUGGUGGCACUGCUCUUGCGAAGUGUGGUUUUCUCCUUGCCUUUUAAACCUGAAGUAUCCUUAACAGUUUUGCUUGAUGACUUCUGCAUUGGCAUUUCCUCCUUUGGAUCGCCAUUCUUUUCCACCGAUCUUUCCUCGUCCUCAUCGCUCCCCUCUUUAUCAGGAAGAGCCUCAUCAUCAUCAUCAUCAUCAUCACCUUGAGAGUGAUCAUUCAGAUCUUCUGAUUCAACCUUAUCAUCAUCUUCCUCUUCAUCACCUUUGGAAGAGGGGGUUUGUUUUUCCUCAGAUGUGUGUUUUUGCCUCUACAAGACAACAAUUAUAAAACAUAACUACCACAAAACAUACAAGAAACCAGAACGCUAAUGUCAUGCACAGACUGCAGUAAACCUCGAAUGAAAUGAAUGAAUGAAUGACAAGUUUAGAAGUAUGAUGCCAGAUUUCCUAGUGUAUUAUCAACAGAUAAAUCCAAAAAAAAUGCAACUACCCAGAGAAUUACUUAUAUGUAAGCAUGCUCAUCCUACAGAAGAAGGCCAAUAGAAAGACAAAUUCAUCGUGAAAUGAAACAGCAGGGGACUAUUAUUCUGCACACAAAAAAAUCGUCUCAUUGAGGUAUUCUUUACUGCAACUAUCAGUAUUACUUCUACGAAAAUUAUUGUAUUAAGAAAACCGAGACAGAACAGACAUCAUGAAAUAAAACCGUGGGGACUACAUAUUCACCACACCAAGCAAGAUCAUUUUUGAGGAAUUAUUUACUGCUACUACCAGUGCUACUUGUAUCAAGAUCACUGCAUUGAGGAAAUUUCUGACAGUUACAGACCAUCUAUGUUGUCCAUUAACUACAGUAAUUCUAACCUUAGCUGGUGUAGCUGAUGCUUCCCCAGGGCUUGAAUUUUUCCCAGUCAUUGACCUCCGCCUCUUGACUUUCUGAAACAGAACAUAAGAUCCAAAAUCAGCCAGGUAAUAGCAUUGAAAAUGAAACCUAAAAUUCCUAAACUGCAGUGAACUCAUUAAGUAUUGGAUACCUGUUCCUUGUCAGCAAGCACAACAUCAGUUGUUGCAUGAGGAGAUUCCAAGAACUCCAAGAUUUUUGCACUGAGUUCUUCCUGAAAAUGUUGUACCGCUAACAGAUAAAUUUAUAGAUAACCCCUAGAAAAAUAUUAACAUUAAAAGUCACAACUGACCUUUCUCACGGUGGCUUUAGUUACUUGAAUAUUGAGUACAUCACAGAAGUCUAGUAGACUUUCCUUAACACACUUGUCAAGCUUUUCCUUCACUCUUGACUUUUGUUUUUCCUGUUGUUUUUCCUGUCAAGCAAGUUUGAGUUUUCAACCAGAAUCAAAGUUAAGAUUCAAACAACACUUCACAAAACGGUCAAUAACUCCAAGUCCUAAGCUAAAUCUUGUGUUUACACAUGGUGUUGCAACAUAGACAUUCAUAGGAGAAUUCAAGCUGAAAAACUACAUUAAAUGUAAAACUCAACAGCUGCAAACCUCACUCCCAGUCCAAACGAAGCCCGAAAAUCUUCCAAUAUUUCUCUUCAUACUUUGAACCUUGCAAAAAUUACAAAUAUAACACAUAUGUCAACACCACACAGAAACUGAAAGCAAUCAGUAUACUGAUGAAAGAGUACAAAGCAAGAACAAAAAGGCCAGAUUGCUAAACUAGAUGCACGCACCUUCCCUUUCUUCCCAAAAAGUAUAGUGUGAAGAACAUGCAAAGUCUCAUCAGAUUUUCUCUUCGACAACUUGAAAGCCACUGAAACAGUUCAAAAUAUCAGAGAAAAAAUAUGCCAAUCUGCUGUAGCAACAACGUUAAAUAGAGAAUGAAUGUUACCAGAACAUGAAAAAUGCAAAAUGAAAGCCCCAACAGCCCAAGUCUUCAAACUCAACUUAUAUAUCUCAUUAUUUGAAGACAUGGUUUCAGCAAUAGGCUAUAUACAAUAUAACAAAACCAUAAACACAGAGCACAACCAAUUCCUAUUAACUCAUGUAUAAUUCUAGGAACAUAGAUCAAAGUACAUUAGACAUCUCCUAAAUAGUAAGUGCCCAAAGUCCAACACUUAGAUGUCCGUAGGAGCCUCCACAGAUAACACCAAAACAGAAUUUCACCAGCAGCCAAUCAUAUUAACUACCUAGCUACUAAAGUCAGAAAAGCAAAAGAGACCCGCAGAACGUUAAGCUUCUGUUCGAAAUUGCAAAACUAAGUGCCAAUGUAUAUAAAGCCAGAAGUCAAAACUUAGGGGAAAAUUAACUUUGCUUAAAAGAAAGGAUUGUUAAUCGUUUUCUACACUACAUAAGGAAUGAUUCAUUGAUAUCCUCAAUAUCCAAAGACUACACUGAAUCUAUCUAUCCACAUAAGCUAACUCCUAACGAUGUCAGAAGAUAUAUAUGCAUGUUUACUAAACCAACUGAUUGAUGCUACAAGAAAAAGUACUCGGAUAAUCAUAAGAGGCUAAUAUCACAGAAACUUGAGAGUGAUCAUUCAGAUCUUCUGAUUCAACCUUAUCAUCAUCUUCCUCUUCAUCACCUUUGGAAGAGGGGGUUUGUUUUUCCUCAGAUGUGUGUUUUUGCCUCUACAAGACAACAAUUAUAAAACAUAACUACCACAAAACAUACAAGAAACCAGAACGCUAAUGUCAUGCACAGACUGCAGUAAACCUCGAAUGAAAUGAAUGAAUGAAUGACAAGUUUAGAAGUAUGAUGCCAGAUUUCCUAGUGUAUUAUCAACAGAUAAAUCCAAAAAAAAUGCAACUACCCAGAGAAUUACUUAUAUGUAAGCAUGCUCAUCCUACAGAAGAAGGCCAAUAGAAAGACAAAUUCAUCGUGAAAUGAAACAGCAGGGGACUAUUAUUCUGCACACAAAAAAAUCGUCUCAUUGAGGUAUUCUUUACUGCAACUAUCAGUAUUACUUCUACGAAAAUUAUUGUAUUAAGAAAACCGAGACAGAACAGACAUCAUGAAAUAAAACCGUGGGGACUACAUAUUCACCACACCAAGCAAGAUCAUUUUUGAGGAAUUAUUUACUGCUACUACCAGUGCUACUUGUAUCAAGAUCACUGCAUUGAGGAAAUUUCUGACAGUUACAGACCAUCUAUGUUGUCCAUUAACUACAGUAAUUCUAACCUUAGCUGGUGUAGCUGAUGCUUCCCCAGGACUAGAAUUUUUCACAGUCAUUGACCUCCGCCUCUUGACUUUCUGAAACAGAACAUAAGAUCCAAAAUCAGCCAGGUAAUAGCAUUGAAAAUGAAACCUAAAAUUCCUAAACUGCAGUGAACUCAUUAAGUAUUGGAUACCUGUUCCUUGUCAGCAAGCACAACAUCAGUUGUUGCAUGAGGAGAUUCCAAGAACUCCAAGAUUUUUGCACUGAGUUCUUCCUGAAAAUGUUGUACCGCUAACAGAUAAAUUUAUAGAUAACCCCUAGAAAAAUAUUAACAUUAAAAGUCACAACUGACCUUUCUCACGGUGGCUUUAGUUACUUGAAUAUUGAGUACAUCACAGAAGUCUAGUAGCUUUUCCUUAACACACUUGUCAAGCUUUUCCUUCACUCUUGACUUUUGUUUUUCCUGUUGUUUUUCCUGUCAAGCAAGUUUGAGUUUUCAACCAGAAUCAAAGUUAAGAUUCAAACAACACUUCACAAAACGGUCAAUAACUCCAAGUCCUAAGCUAAAUCUUGUGUUUACACAUGGUGUUGCAACAUAGACAUUCAUAGGAGAAUUCAAGCUGAAAAACUACAUUAAAUGUAAAACUCAACAGCUGCAAACCUCACUCCCAGUCCAAACGAAGCCCGAAAAUCUUCCAAUAUUUCUCUUCAUACUUUGAACCUUGCAAAAAUUACAAAUAUAACACAUAUGUCAACACCACACAGAAACUGAAAGCAAUCAGUAUACUGAUGAAAGAGUACAAAGCAAGAACAAAAAGGUCGGAUUGGUAAACUAGAUGCACACACCUUUCCUUUCUUUCCAAAAAGUAUAGUGUGAAGCAUAUGCAAAGUCUCAUCAGAUUUUCUCUUCGACAACUUGAAGGCCACUGAAACAGUUCAAGCCACUGAAACAGUUCAAAAUAUCAGAGAAAAAAUAUGCCAAUCUGCUGUAGCAACAAAGUUAAAUAGAGAAUGAAUGUUACCAGAACAUGAAAAAUGCAAAAUGAAAGCCCCAACAGCCCAAGUCUUCAAACUCAACUUAUAUAUCUCAUUAUUUGAAGACAUGGUUUCAGCAAUAGGCUAUAUACAAUAUAACAAAACCAUAAACACAGAGCACAACCAAUUCCUAUUAACUCAUGUAUAAUUCUAGGAACAUAGAUCAAAGUACAUUAGACAUCUCCUAAAUAGUAAGUGCCCAAAGUCCAACACUUAGAUGUCCGUAGGAGCCUCCACAGAUAACACCAAAACAGAAUUUCACCAGCAGCCAAUCAUAUUAACUACCUAGCUACUAAAGUCAGAAAAGCAAAAGAGACCCGCAGAACGUUAAGCUUCUGUUCGAAAUUGCAAAACUAAGUGCCAAUGUAUAUAAAGCCAGAAGUCAAAACUUAGGGGAAAAUUAACUUUGCUUAAAAGAAAGGAUUGUUAAUCGUUUUCUACACUACAUAAGGAAUGAUUCAUUGAUAUCCUCAAUAUCCAAAGACUACACUGAAUCUAUCUAUCCACAUAAGCUAACUCCUAACGAUGUCAGAAGAUAUAUAUGCAUGUUUACUAAACCAACUGAUUGAUGCUACAAGAAAAAGUACUCGGAUAAUCAUAAGAGGCUAAUAUCACAGAAAUUCAGAACAAAUCAGACUAAAGGGGACAAUCAAGUCAUAGAUGCGCUCAAUGACUAAAAGACAUCUAAAACUGGAAGCAAACUCGAUAAGCAAAGACAGAUGCCAGAAACAUGGCUCCGUUAAAUUAUUUUAAGAGUACCAGGAGUGUUUAGCAAGGGAAAUCAGUUAAGUCUCCCUGACGGAAACCAUUGAAACAGUGAAGAACACACAAAGAGUUGCCCAACGAGACUUACCAUUGGGAAUAUCCUUCAGGGCUGUCCCACGGCCCUGCACAUACGCGAAGAAACUAAUUUGAUCAAUAUAACAGGAAGUAAGAAAAUGAUAACCGUGAAGAAUCAAAAGCAGAAGGAUGUGCACCUUUUCUAUCGACAAGGUCUUUUUGACAGUGGAUCUUUGAUGCUCGGGAACAGAGUAUCUCUCUACCAUCUUCCGCUCCCUAGUUGGGCGAUCACUGCUAGGGGUGACAGUUCCUUUCUUCUCGGUGGUUUCAGGAGUCUUCUCCCGUUCCUUGCCAGUGGCAACUUGCUUAUUUUUCAUCGUAUCUUCUUCUUCUGGUUCCUCUUCAACAUCCCCUUCAUCCUGGCCAUUCUCCUCGUUCAGAUCUUUCUCAGCCUCCUCCUCCUCCUCUUUGUCUCGGCCAGCUUCCUCGGCAGGCUCUUCCUUAUUUCCUUGUACAGGAGGAUUUUCAGAACUGUAUUCCUCCUUGCUUUCUUGACUCGGCUGUUCGUCUUUCUCUUCUUGUUUGUCAUCUUCCUUGAUUCCAUCCUCGUCCUCCUUAUUUUUCACUUCUUCUUCCUCCAGCUCGGCUUUCAUAUCGGUCUCCACUUCCUCUGGCUUGUCUUUCAUCUCUUCGUCCGGACUGCUCUUAGUAUCGGCGGCGUCCACUUCCUCGUCCUUAUCUUUCAUCUCUGCGUCAACUUCGCCGUGCUUGUCUUCCAUCUUCUCGUCCACAUCCUCUUGCUUUUCGUUAAUAUCCUCGUCAGCUUUCUGUUUCUCCAGUUGUUCGGGCUUGAGAUCCUCUUUGCUCGCAAGCGGAGCUUCCUCCUCCGGCUUCGUGUUCUCCUCUAGGGUUUCGCUCGCCAUGGGGGAUAACUAACUUGGUAGAAGGAAGAAGAGAUGGGGAAAAGAAUUGAGAGAGUAAAACCCUAGGGUAGCUUAGGGUUUUUGAAGAUCGGGGAAACGGAGGGGAAUUUUGACUAUGAGCAGCAAAGUGGAUGUGUGAGAGAGUGAGAAAGAGAGGGAGUUUGUUCCUUCGGGGGAUGAAGGUGCGAGAGAGAAAGAGAUUGUAGAUUCGGAAUUGUGAUGCAGAAAGGGGAUUUUUGUGUGGCAGAAUUGGUGAGAAAUUAGGGCGGGAUCCAAUUGGGGGGGAAAUCGAAAGGAAAGGGCGGGGUUCCAAAACAAUUUUGAUGCGGGAAAUGUUUUCAGGGAAAGCGGGAUCUCAGUUUCCGCCCCGGCUCCAAAAUUUCGUUGUUUUUUUACUCGGACAUGCACAUCCUAGUGGAAUACUUAAUACCACUAGUCAUUUAAAACUCAUCCGGUGAUAUGGUUGGUUGCUCACCUUAUCCUAUAAUUAUAAGAUUUAGAGUUUGAUUUUUGUUUAUAGAAAUAAAAUAUAUUUUGUUGUCAGUUAUUUACCGCCUUGUGCGAGCACCCAUAAUAAAAUGAUCGGUUAUUAUCAUCGACGAUAAACACCCUAAUUACACCAAAAAUUUAAAACUCAAUCACACUUUGCGGUUGAAGGUGGAUUGGACGUAAACGAUCGACAUCCAUUAACGAUUAUUGAGGGUGUUUUCUUGUGGUCAAAGUUUGAUAAAGACUUCCGUUGCGUUUCAGGUCCAAUAAAACUUAUUUGUGGCUUGAGCAAUGUCAAGUGAAAGCUACUGAUAAGUUACCAACUCGGAGGAUGAAUUAUCGGUCCAAAUGUAUUCGGAUUACAACCAUGACUUAUUGGAGACAUAUCUAAGGAAGGUAUGUAUAAAGUUUGAGACCAUUCAAAGGUCAUUUGGUUGAGGAACGAACAAGGGGCACUAAGUGAGAUUGUUGGUCGGAAGUGUUGUGUAUUAUGGGUCAAAAAGAGAGUAUCACGGGCAAGGGCAAAUCUAUACAUAGUGUCAGGGAUAGUAUGUCGGCCUUCAAAUAUUUAGGUAUGCAUAUCCUAUACAAUAUACAUGGUAUUACAUUGUUUGAAACAGUAUCUAUAAUAUGGCAGUGUGGUUCUCUAGUUUUUUUCCUCUUUUAUUGGUUUUUUUUUCGAUAAUUACCUUAUUUUAUACUAUUAAAUAAUUAUGAUUAAAACGAUUAUCGUUCGUACAGACACUAAAUAAGACAUUUAAAUUUGGGCUCUGACGCAUGAUAAUAUUAUUUUGACUUAGUGCUAGCCUAAGGACAUAUAUUAAUGAUAGUUUUGGCUUAGUAAUCGAUACACAUCAAUUAUAAUCUCAAAUUUAAAACUCUAAAAAAUUGUUAAUGACACAUUCAAUCUCGAAGGACAAUGUGUUUUAACUAAAAACAACAUAAUCAAUAUUUUUAUUUUGUUUUUUAACUUUGUAUUAUAUUAAAAAAAUGUUAUCAUUAUUGCUCGAUAUAUAGAUUUUAGAUUUAAAUCCGGCUCAGUACAUGUUUUGAUCCUGAAUCCGCGCUAUUGAUUAUAGACAUUCUCUAUAUCAACCUUAAACACCAUGUAAGUGAUGACUUGAGGUAUAUGAAGUUUAAGAAACUGCAUAACCUCAUGAGCCAGGAGGACAUUAUUCAUAAUAGAACGGUGCCGGACAAAUCUAUUUUGGUUGACGCCGACAAUGAAAGGCAGAAUCGCAUCCAUCUUAACAGUUGAUAAUCUUGGACAUGAUCUUGUAGAAAAUCGUACAUAAACUAAUGGGUCGAAGUUGGAUCAUGGAGUCGGCACUGGCCACCUUGAACAGUAAUGUGAGUCAUGUAUGAUUGAGGGAGCGAAAAAGACGAUCAAAGCGAAAAAAGUUCUGCACCGCCAAAGUGACAUCUGGCCCGAUCGUAAACCAAAAUCGCGGGAAAAAAACUCAUAGCCGUAUGGCCUCGAGCCGAUAGUCACGGGCGCUUUGUAGGGAUGCUGUGACCGAAGGAUAAAGAUCCAAGUUACUUAGAUCAGGAAUGCCGGCAAGUUCCGAGCUGAAGAGAUGUUGAUAAAGGCUUACCGCAAGCACACCGUUGUCCGCCUCCAUAGAGUAGCGCUACCCAAAAUCAUAAAUGAGAUCGCCAAGACAAUUGCGUUUUCGUGAUGCCUGAACAGAACGGUGAAAGAAGGCCGUAUUAUACUACCGAAAUCCGAAGCAGCACUUGAAAAUGGAAAUGGAGGGAAAAUUAGAACGAGUCACCACUACUCUGGAAAAGCGCAGUCCUCCCAAGUCGUCCUUAAUGCAGUCAAUGCUCAGAAGACGACUGGUUCUCUCCGACGAUGAGGGCGAAGAGCAGGAAAAUAGUCAGCCUCUGCCGCUGCCUCCUUCACCGCCGCAAUUUGAAGCAACCGUUUCCGAAGCUGAAAUUGAAAUUGAUAUGCAGCCAUCUCUUACUCACCAAAACCCUAACCAUUUCGAGCCAGUUACCUCAAUCAACGACGAUUAGCUUCUUGAUGUAUUAGACGAUGAUAAUCACGCGUUUCCUCCGUCGGAGACUGUUACUGAUGAUACCUCAGAGAAUCAGCAGCCACAACCGCAACCGCAAUUUGGAGCAGCGGGGGUGGGAGAGAGCUCCGGGUAGAGCUCCGGGUGUCCAGUGCGGGAUAUUCUUGUCUUGCUGGGCUCAAUAGCUCGGGUCAACACCUUGAUUUGAAGGCCAAGGCGAAGCAUUGCUUCGACAAGUUCUUAAUGUCUGACAUGAAUUACUGUGGCACGGGCGUGCUUCCGCCUAAUGUUGGUUCGAUGCAUCUUGUUGAUCUCCCUGGACCAUUCGUAUAAUCGUAUUGCAGGUUCGUUGUUGUUUCUACUCCUUUAUUAUGUAUAAUGUAAUGUAUGAUCGUGGUCUCUUUCCUUUGCUGUUGGUUGCUAUUUGCUAAUCGUAAGCUGUGUGUGAUUGAAGUUUUCCUCUCACAGUAGAUCAAAAUUCGGCAGGUUUAUGAGAUUGUUAAUAUGAGUGCACCCCUCAAAGGCAGGUAUCAAGAUGCACAUUGUGGGCUUAAGAGGUGCCUUAAGUUAUCCAUGACGGAUGGUGUUCAACGUGUGUUUGCCAUAGAGUAUAAGCUUAUCGAUAGUCUUAAAGUUUUGGUUCCUGCAGGAUUCAAGGUAUCUUCUUUUAUAUCAACUACGUAUUGAGUUGGAUCCCCUUGUUUCAUCGUGAAAUGAUACGUGUUGGAUAACUUGGAUAUGUUGUGCAACUACUGACAUGCUGAGAAACGAAUAAAGCUCAUUUCAUUGUCUUUGCGAAGCAUGGUAUCCAUCAACAAUUUGCAACUGCAAUGCUGGAAGGAAAUCAUCCUUUUCUUUUUACAUCUAGGUUGCUAUUUAUAAUGUGCAUGUGCGACGUGGACUCCUGAUGCUGGUACCUGAAGUCAUUGAAAUUCUAGGAGGAGUGGCGGAGGAGUUGGAGGCAGCACGAAUUCGUAUUGUUGCAGACGUGAAUAAGCCGCCUAGGGCAAAGAGGUGUGUUCUAGUGUUGGUUCUGCUUCUACUCUACAUGCCAUAUCUUGUCUACUCGAUUGAAACGACUCUCUCUCUUUUUUUUCCCCCUUUCUAAGUGGGCGGUUUUUGCAGAUCAAGGGCAGGAGUUAUCCCUCCUUUGGCUACCAGGGGCACCAUGGCUGCAUGGCCCCUAACUAGUGCCACUGAUCCUGGGAGCACAAACGACUCUGCAAAUGCUCCUGGGAGUACUAAUCCAGGCCACGUCAAUGAUACUCCCAACAUUCCUCAACGCUGUAACCUUUCUGUUAAUGUUGGUGGAGGCAGAAAUGAUCCUGCCAAUGUUUCUAGAUCUGCAACUCCAUCCACUUUGCAGUCUUCAGUUCCCCAUUCUGUUAGCGCUGGUCACAACACUGAUCAUGUCAAUGUUUCUAGAUCUACAGCUCGCUGCACUGUACAGUCUGCAAUGCCUUGCAAUGGUAGGUCAAUCAACAUUUCUAGAUCCACAACUUCUUCUAUCACACAGUCCUCGAUACCCUCUCAAUCAGAUGACCGAGGUACGCUUACCUACCCCAUCCCUUUCCCUCUGAUGUUAUGUCUUAAGAUUCGUAUCUAGUCUGUUGAAGGGUUCCUAUAAUGAAAUACAAAAAAAAAAGUUAAACAAGAAGAAAGAACAUUGAGUGAUUAGCUGACUUUUUAAUGAACACGACUCCUUUGAAUGUGUUUUCUGUUCCAGGGAGAGCAGAACCAAUUGUUUCCGAUGUCUCAGAUAGAGUUGUUUCUGAGAUUGAAGGCAUGCAUAUCGAUCUAUCUCAUGUCCACGAGGAUACCCAUAUGGCUGAUGAACGUGAACAUCCCCUUAUUUUAUCUGGAAACAGAGAAAUCCCUUUUACGUACUUAGCUAGCUUGUCAGCAAAAUGGGCUGCCCAAAGGGUAAAAACCUCUCUUCAAGCGAGGAUUAAGGUACAAACUAACUCUCACUUCCCCUCUCGGUGUAUGUAUCUAUGUCCUCUCUUGUUGGGUAAGGGUAGUUAAAAGAUACUCACGCUGGAUAUACCGGGAUAGCAUGUUCUUGUAAGUCUAUUAUAUCAAAGCAAGUUCGAUAUGCCACACUUGAAGUCUUGUAAAAAAUUAUGCAGUGUCUCAUCACUGCUGUGAAGGGCUUCCAAUACAGGAAUGCGGAAAGAUACGGCUUCUAUGUAGACGAUGGAAGCCUCAUCUCUGAGAUCAUGGUUGAUCAUCCUGUAAGUCGUAAAUCAGUUUGAUCAAAUAAGUUGUACAUGGUUUCACUUUGUAAUAUGUUUCAGACAUAUCUACCCUUCAGGUAGUGCAUAAAUAUAUAGGUUGUUGCCAUGAAGAAUACGUUGACACAGUUCCAAAUAUUUCUAUUCAACUUCGAGGUAGCUAUGCUACGCCAACUUUUUAUCAUCUUAGAUUAGUUGCUUCCUUAAGUUCGCUUAAGGGUUAACUAAAAAGACUAACAAAACUUGGGGAUUGGCUCAGGGUACAAUGCUUGUAGAGAUGAAUGAAAAUUCGCCUCUUCCAGUUGCCAUCGAAAGUAAAGCAAGGGGUCCCUGCUACCGAUGCAUGGCUGCUUAUGAGAAGACUCGAGUCUUGUGCUCCAACGGGUCAUCAUACCUCAGAGACCAUUACCAUUUCUCCAUGAUCGACAUCAAAUGUAUCAUCGCUCUCUGCCUACAGUGUAGAAAGAAAUUUGCAGACUGGUUCAGAGGAUUAAACUAGUGAUAACAGUUGGACGUGGGUAAUUAAUUAACUGAAUGAUCCUUAUUUGCUGACCCCAUAUAUUCAUAAUGAAUGUAGGUGAGAGUUGGUGAAUCUGAAAAUGUUGAUGCAACUGGUUUGCUGGAGAAGGCAAAUGCCUGGGUACAAGAGAAACGAGACUACCACUGACUGAGAGGUUGGGAGAGCUGCAGAAUGGAAAUACUUUUGUUACACAUGUGACAAGAGACGAGACCACUAGUGGUCAGUAUUCAUCAAGCAGGAAGCUUCCGCUGGCUAGCUUUGGGAGAUUCUCCAGGAAACUGAAGAUAGAUUUGGUAAAUUGAUUUGCUAUGUCUGCAAUCUUCUUGCUUGGGGCUUCGCUUGCAGAUCGGCCAGGUGAGGGGAGCAAAUAGAAGCGGUUGCUCCACUCUAUGACAUCAGGGCAAAAAGCCUUGAACCAAAACAAGGAUCGGUACCAUUCUGGCACUAUCAAGUACUUAUCUCCCCUACAUGCACUAUUAACAAUUGCUUUGGCACAUUCUGCAGUUGACUCUAAUGGCAUCACACUCACUUGAAUCUGUGACAUGACAAUUAGUGUGUGCUUUAUUAUUAUUAUUAUUAUUAUUAAUAUUCAGCUGGACUGGAAAUUGAAAAUAUAGAGUUUAACAGGGUUACUUACAUCUCUAAUUUCUUUAUCCAUUUGAAGGCGGCCUUGUUGGUUCAAGAACUUGCCGUCUGUCAUUUCAGAGUGGAUUAAUCCAGGGGUGACAAUUGUUAUUCCAACUUGUGUCCCAAGUUCCACUCUCAGUGUUUCGUACAUGGCAACAAGUGCUGCUUUACUUGCCUGGAAAUAGUAGAAAAGAAAAUACAUACAUCAGCUGUCUGUCAAAUAAUAAUAAAUAAGAGGGGAGGUAUAUGAUGUGUACAUUGUAGAAGCUCAUCCUUGGAGCAGGCAACCACGAGGCAACUGAAGCUACCACAAUGAUCUUGCCAUGGCUUUGCUUCAGAUGAGGAAUUGCGAAAUACGAGCUAUAUACCGAUCCCCAGAAGUUUAUAUCCUGGGGUUUCACAGAAUGAAUUGGUUUAGUCACUGACAUCAGAAGUCUAUAUAUGAAAAAUAUGAAGGGGGGUUACCAUAGCAGGUGCAAGGUUGGUGAUAUCAGGGAUAUCCUCGAACAUUGUCAUCGGAGAAACUCCGGCGUUUGUAACCAGGUGAUCCACUGUGACCAAGACAAAGACAAGUUAACCAACACAUGAUAUCUGAUAUCGAAGGUGAAGUUUGUUAUUGUUGUUAUUACGCACGUCGGCCAAAUAGGCGAGCUGCUUCAUUCACAAACUGCUGACAGUCUUCAACAUUGGUGACGUCUCCCUUGAGGACUAGAGCAUAAGGGCUUCCCAUCUCCUCAGCUUUGGCUGCAACAGCACGGAGCUUCUCUUCUCUUCUAGCAACCAGAGCUAGACACGCUCCUUUCUUUGCGUACUCGUAAGCCAGAUGCUUUUUUAAAUUCAGCCAAAAACAUUAAUCAUAACUAAAUCUAUUAUUCUGCAGAGCAUCAGAACAAUUUACAAGUAAAACUGACCUCGCCUAUGCCAGAAGAUGCUCCUGUUAUCAGCACCACUUUUCCUGAGACAUCUUCCUUGAAUAUUGUCCUCAACAUGGAUUCUACUCUAGUAUACACUCCAUAUACAUGAUUUAUGAACCCAAAUAAUGUCAGCAGGGAUACGGGAGUUAAUACAAUGUUCAUCAACUUGUUCACUGCAUCAUUAUCGCCCUUCAUCAUGUUCAUAUUUGCCUACUACUUCACUGUGCUACAACUGCCGCCGGAUGCGAUUUCGAUAAUGAAAAGAGAAAGAUAAACCAGAGAAGUAGGGAUGACCCCACCGCCUGUUGUUGGUUCGGUCGCCACGUACAUACCUUGCAUGAAUGAAAUUACACGCGGCGUUUCAACUUUCAAUCAAGCCAACACUUCUUACUUACACAGACAUCACCAUAUUUUGACGUCCCUACUAAACGACAUCGCAUUAGCCCAUACAUCUGUUAGAUUAGAGUAGUACGUACUCUGUCGGUAGCUACUACAUUACGUAGAUAAUCAUAUACUUAAAACAAUUUGUUACCUCUGAUCGAACUUCUGCAGCUUGGGACAUCUCUGAUGUUACUAAACCAGGGGUGACUAUUGUAAUCCCAAUAUCUGAACCAACUUCUAUUCUCAGUUCCUUGAACCAGCUUAUGAGUGCAGCCUUACUUGCCUCAUAGAAACCGAUCUUAGGACAGGGUACACAUCCUGCAACCGAAGAAACGACCACGAUCUGUCCUUUACAUUUCCCCAAUUGCCUUGCUUUCAUUGCCACACUCUGUAGACGAUCUUCCCUGCUUGCCGCUAUGGCUAACCGCGCUCUUCUCCUUGCGUACUCGUAAGCUAAUUGCUACAUACAUACAUACAUAUAAUAACGUCUAACUUAUUAUAUAUUGAGAGAGAGGAAUUAAAAGAAAACCCAGAAAGAUCAGAGAGAUUAAUAUAUAAUAACCUCGCCGAUUCCUGAAGAUGUUCCGGUGAUGACAACUGCUUUACCAGCCAUAUUCUUAUUGAAAAACAAUCGCCGGAUCACAUACUUGAACGCCCUCAGAAGCAGGCAGCAGUGGAAACGAGAAAACCACUAUAAACAAGAUCAAAGGAGUCGCCACAACGUCGAGCACCUUCAGAUGCAAACCCAUAAUUGGUUCUUAGUUUUCUCUUGUCCUGUUCCUCCCCUGAAGAUUAGAAUGUAGCAGGCGGCUGCUAUAACCAGUGUGUUUACCUGCAAAUAGCUGGAAGUUCCUUCAGGCAAAGACUUUUUUUGUUUAAACUAACAGUCCUUCACGCAAAGAUGCACGUCCUAUCUAUCAAUUUCUUUUAUAUUACACUGCAGACAGCAACUCUUUUUCCAGCUACUACUCCCUAACCACUUCAUCAAAGCUGGAUCAUCCUUUUCAACUCUAUGAUCUAGAGAUUAAGAUUAGAAAUCGGCAAUAACUUUGGUGGUAACAACUGUAGCAAUUUUUGUAGUCACCGGAGCUCUGAUUAUAUAAAAAAAAGUUCAACCAUCAAAGUUCCUUUGUAUAACCGUCCUGUCUCCAUUAUACCGAGUUAGAUACACAUGAUACCACUAAAAUUUAGUUUGCGGUCAGAUAUAUUCUAACCACCAAAAUAAGUUAUGUUCACCAAAUUAAAGUUUCAUUUCCUUAGUUACCAUCCACUUUUUUUUCUGGCGGAAUGCUAAUGUGGCUCAACACAAUAAAGAUUUUUGGGAUGAGUCAGCUGCCAACAACUCAUCAUUUUAUCAGAACUCGCCGUUUAAAUAUUUCCAGAUUUUUCUACUUUGAAGAAGGUUGUCAAAAUAUAUUGAAUAACCAAUCACCGACCAUUACGGUUCAAGCAUAGUGAUACCAAAAGAAUCGAAACAGUUUGCCAAGAUAGGAUUUUGAAAUGAUGAGUUGCUAGCAACCGAUGACUCAUCGAUCCCCUAAUUGAUGAUUGUGUUGGGCCACGUCAGCAUUCCACCGAAAAAUAUAACAAAAUGAUAACUAAGAAAAAGGAACUAUAAUUUGGUGGUGUUUGAUGAACAUAAUAUAAUUUAGUUCGGUUGUUAAUAUAACUUCAAACUAAAGUUUAGCAGUAUUAAAAUCAAGCGAUAUUGAUGGCUAAAACGAAAACAACACCGAGAGUCAAUAAUGGAUAAGGAAUACGGGAUGGUAUAUAUUGUUGUUUUGUAUGCACGAGUGUCUACAGUUCAAAAAUGUGGUUUCGGACUUAGGGGUAUGUUAGGAACAUAAAUUCUGGAAAGGCAUAAUAAGUCAAUUGGCUGACGAACAUGGGAUAUACAUAAGUCGAAAAUCUCUGAGUUUAUUAUAGCAGUAUCUCGGUAUACAACACAAUCAUUCAACAGCCGAAUGCACAAAGAAAAAACAACCAAAGCUGAACAUACAUGUUUGAUGAACACACAGAGCAACAGAGCAUAAGUAGCUAGCAACUUAUUUAUUGGGAGAAUUUUAGAAUAUAUAUAUUAUCAGACGUGGGCAUAUAUAAAAGCAGUGAUAUAUCAGUAGUGCUUCAUCAUUCAUUUUGCUGCAGGUGGGUUGAGUGCUUCCCAAGCCUCAAUCCAGGUAACCAUGGCGUCAGCAAGUUUGUUAAAGUAAGGAUCAAUAGGGCCAAGUUUUUCCUUAACAAGCUUGGAAAGCUCAACGUAGCACUGUUGAACGGUAGUGGAGUCCUUUGGCAAUGCAGCAGAUUGGAAAAACGGAAUGAUGUCUUCCUGCCAGUAUAUCCCCUUGUACUCCUUCUUCAGAUUAACAAAUGGGUUGCUAGCCUUACUGUGCCAUAUAUACGGCAACCCAGUCUUCACACCUAGACCCAGAUGGUCAGCAAUCACCUGAUCAAAAUCCCGAAUGUUAUUGAAGAAAAUAUAUAGAUGCAUGGAUGUUGGGAGAAGUAAGUAAUAUAGAGUACCUUGGCACACCAGCCAGCCCACAUGUCAUCAUAACGACCGAUGGGUUGACCGUCGCCCAUGAGUCCAAAGUACAGAGCGGGGCCUAUGAGCUCUCUGUCAAAUGCAAGAUUCAUUCCACACAUUGGGAAGAGGCUACCUUUGGGAAUGGUCAUCACUGCAUCCACAUACCUGCAGGUUGUGGUUGAGCUAAUUAAUGAAGAGUUAAUUAAUAUAAUAUAUGAUGUUGAAAUGCUAGUAGCUGCGAUUAGUAAGUAACCUGGAGUUGCGCUCAAGAGGCUUGACAAGCUGAGUAGGUGCAUCGUAGUCAGGGAUGUUGAGCCAGAGGCCGUGAGAGAUUGCAGUGGGGACUCCUUCCCUCAAGCUAAAUGGAUAGCCUCUAACGAAGUCAGCUCCUUCCCUGUAUGGAUCGUACAAUGUAUUGAAAAAAUUCGGGGUUGAUGGUGUCAACAGAUUCUGUAUGUGCUGUCCCAACGCGUUUAUCUCCUCCCCGCUAGGAUUCUUCGCAACCUUCAUGGUUCAUUCAUUUCAAACCAAACCCACUUUCCAAUUAAUUAAACCCAUUUUAUAUGGAGUCAGGGACAUUAUACCGCUUUCCGGAUUCGAUUCAAGAGCAAUUUUCCCCUUGAAUUUCCUCAUGAUUUAAAGGUCAAGAUUAACCGUAUGCAAUAUUGUCAUUUUUGUUUUGAAUAUUUUUGAUUGGACCAUAACUCAGCCAUCUCUGAUCGCCGGACCACCAUCUCCAGUUAUCGGAAAGUUUCCCGAUGAAUUAUUCGGCGAUUCCAAUCUCAGUUAACGAAUUUUUUUCCACCCACAUGAUCACCGUCGUCGGCUCUACUUUUUCAGAAAGUUUUUAUUUUGUUGGAGAUAUUUUCCGACGAUCGAUCGUAAAAUUUCGUACGGAGGGUUGUACGAAGCAUAUAAAUGUGUGUAGGUUUGUACAACCCAUACAAAAGUGUAUACACAUUCGUAUAAAUGUUGUAAAGUGUAAUACUAAGUAUCAUACUAUUUAGUGUACGUAAAGUGUAAUACUAAAUAUCAUACCACUUAAAAUACACAUUUGUAUGUUGUGAAAUGUUAAUUAUGCCCUUGUAUUUUAUCAAUAGUUAGACCUAUGAUUGGACGACUGAGAAUUAUACGGGAUUUUUAAAUCGAAGCCAGAAGCCAUUUCUCUCGCUACAGAUUCAAACUUCUCCUUGUUCUUCUACUAGUAUCUAAAUCUAAAAGAUAUAAAUAAGAAUUCAUUGUCGCUAGUAAAACCUUAAGGGGCUCAAGGGUAGCCAAUAGAUUUAUAAGUUUGACCAUAAAAAAAAUUAGUUUGAAUUUUUAGCUGUUUCUACUGUAUAUGGAGAAAAUAAUUAAAUCAAUUUGAAAAUUUUCAACACUAAUAAACCCUUCAAAAUGUUCAAAUCAACUAAUAUUUAUCAUGCAUAUUGAAAAUAGCUACAAAAUCAAGUUUCAUUAUGAUAACAUUUGUAAAUAAUGACCAAAUAAAGUUAAAAAUCAAUUUUACUUGAUAUUAUAUUAGCGUUGACAAGUUUUAAAUAGGCUUAUUUUCACAUUUUCAAGAAAAAAAUGUCUUGCUCUUAAACGUUGUCAAACAAAUGAUGGUGUUUCAAUUCAUUUGAUUUUCGACCAAAAAGUUGGAUGACGAUGUAGUAAAUAAAUAAAGGCAAUGAAUGAAAAAGAAUAUCCAAAGGGAAACGGAAGAAAAGGGACGUACGAAGCAGUCGUCGUCAAUGGUGAAAAUGUACUUCUUCUUGGAGACCAAGAAGCCAAAACAGCGGCAGGCGGAGUCCUUUUAGGAGAUAAAAGGGGGCUUGGGACCCAGUGGCCUUGGGACCCAGGAUUUUGUUGAUGUCGUUACGAUUGUAGAGUUCGUAGUCAAAACCAUGAGGGACAUGGAUGGUCUUAGAUGGAUCUCCAUCCUGGACAAUGAUAAGGUGGUAGGGCUGGAAGAAGGGCCUCCACAUCUCCAGGAAAUCCAGGUUCCUGAUUGUUGGGAUCACAAUGUCCAGCUCAUCCUUCAGAGGCGGGGCUAUUUGGCUCGGCGAGGGCUGCUGUGCCAUUUUUGGUAUAAUUAGUAUGCGAUGUAUUACUGUGCGUUGGAUGUGACGGUGGAUAUUUGGUUCUGAAAAGCAGAGGAGUUACUUAUAUAUACAUGCAGUAUAAUAAUAGUGAAGGAAGAAGAGUGGAGUUUCAGUUCAGAGAUUCUUGGAAAAAGGUUGCGGGGUAUAAUGGCAAAGGGGCACUGUUGUUGGGAUUGGGGAAAGCCCUUUGAGUGAAAGGGAGAAAGAAAUCAAAUGUCUAAAGAAAUGGAGGGUACAUACAGAUUCUUACUGUAUUUCGACAAACUCAGAAUCAGCUCAGCUCUGUAAUUUCGACUAUUCGAUUUAUGUAAUAAUUGAUUUUUUCGUUGUUGGUGUUCAUACAAAGCGAUAAACAUCGAUUAUAAAGUAUACACUAUUUUUAUAUGUAAGAAUUAAAUUUUUAACCUCAUGCCAAUCGGAUAUAUAUGCUAAGCCUAGUCGUGGUUAUUGAUUUUCAGCUCGUUGGUAGUGGAUUUGGCAAUGGAUUUUGAUUUUCAAAAAGCUCAUUGUCAUUGGGUCUGGAUUUUCUAUCCAUUCCUAUUGGACUUGGGUAAAGCCCAUUAAUAGAAGCCCAUAUAGUAGAGGGUUUCUUGGGGAGGAAAAAAGUGGGAAAAAAAUGGAGGAUGGAUGGGUGCAGGGACAGGAUAAGGGAAAAGAGGAGCAGGAUAGUUUGGAAGGUCCGCCGGGUGGGUCGUUCAAUCCCGAAAUCAUCGAAUCGCGCGUCCCAUCUCUCUCUCGUUUCCGGUUUCCCUUUGGCCCUCUCUCUCUCUCUCUCUCUCUCUCUCUCUCUCAGCAGAUCAGAAAAGAAAACCUGCUUAAGAAGAUCCAUCUCUCUCUCCUUCUCUUAUCCCUUCUUCUCAUCUCUUCCAUCCAUUUCAGUUUCAGUUUCAGUUUGAUAAUCUCACCACCACCACCACCACCCUCUCUAUUCCUCCCAUUCAACAUCCAACACUUUGCUCCAAUAUUAAAUAUCCACACCCACCCACCCACCCAAAAAAACCUAAUCAGAUACAGUAAAAAAACAAACCAUAACAAAUACCAGAUGGAUGCCAACUCCCACCAGCAACAACAGCAAUCCUCCAGUUACCGGUCCUCAAUCCCCACUACUCCCACCCCACCGCCUCCUGCUGCUCCCUCCUCCGCUGCUGCUGCUGCAUCCGCCGGGCCCCCCCUCCACCCCCCAUCCGCCGGUCCUCCUCCUCACCACCUCCUUCAACAACAACAACACCAGCUCCAGAUGUUCUGGUCCUACCAGCGCCAGGAGAUUGAGCAGGUCAAUGACUUCAAGAAUCACCAGCUCCCUCUCGCCCGGAUCAAGAAGAUCAUGAAGGCUGACGAGGAUGUCCGCAUGAUCUCCGCCGAGGCCCCCAUUCUCUUUGCCAAGGCCUGCGAGCUCUUCAUCCUCGAGCUCACCAUCCGCUCCUGGCUCCAUGCCGAGGAGAGCAAGCGCCGCACCCUCCAGAAGAACGACAUUGCCGCUGCAAUUACCAGGACCGAUAUCUUCGAUUUCCUCGUCGAUAUCGUCCCCAGAGACGAUAACAAGGAGGAUGCCGGUCUCGCUGCCGGCACCGUUCCUGCCACUGCAAGUGGCGUCCCUUAUUAUUAUCCUGCUGCUCCUCCUGGCAUGAUGAUUGGUAGGCCCGCCCUCGACCCUACCGGCGUCUACGUCCAGCCUCCCUCCCAGGCCUGGCAGUCCGCUUGGCAGACCACCUCCACCGAUGAUGUCUCCUAUGCCAGCGGAGGCACUACCGGCCAAUCCAAUCUCGAUGGACAAGGGUGCGUGCGUUUCUCAUUAUCUGCAUUUUCUUCUUCAAUUUCUCUGUUUUCUUUGCAAAAUUAGGGAGCGAUCUCAUGAUAUUAUUCUGAUUCUUAAUUGUGCCUGAUACUAUACGUAAUUUGUUUGGUUCUAGGACUGUAAGUUGUUAUCUCUAUUCUCUAGGGAAAAAAUAUUAUAUCUUUAUCACUCUCAGAGAUAGAAGCUCUGCUUCCCUUCGAAUCCUUCAAAUUUCGUGUCACUGUUGCUGUCUUUCUAUACUUAUUACCAUUGCCUUUUAUUGAAUGAGGCAACUUGGGGACCCUGGUUAUUCAUUUGAAUGUAGUUUUUAUCUUUGUGCUUUCCCAUUCAGUGGAUUUUGAAGUUGAGCGAGUAUGUGCUGUAGAAGCAUUUGGCUGAAAUUGAUACCUGACAGAAGAUUCUAUGUAGAUGAAUGCUGAAUAUGAACAUACCUUUUGCCUGCCCACUGGCUUGAUUAUUCAAGAAGCACCGGGACGUACUAUUUUUCAGAUAAUGUAGUAUGCGUAAUAGAAUUGAUUUUCUUAGUUAUUUGAAGCAUUGGGACGUAGCUUCAAGUGUUCUAUCACAGGCCUUAUUUGCCCCUGGUAUGAGUCUGCAAAAGAGUUAUGAUCAUUAGAGCAGGGACGGAAUAGAAUUGCCUUUCUACUGUGUUUCCUUACUUGCAAUCUGUCAAAUUAAGUAGGACCUAGAGACGCUUAGGGCAAUGAAAUUAGAGCCUUCUUCUUUUGGAAAUGUUAACAAUGAAUUGAAGUUGAACUUCGCCUGGGUGAUGAGCCUGCAUGUAUCUUUUUCAACGGUUAGUUUGCGUGAGAUCAGCUUUAUGCAAUGUAAUGACUAUUAGAAUAGCCUGUUGUUGUGAAUACCCUGUUAACAAUUUGUUUAAUAUUUACUUAUAUUUAACCACCAGAGUGGUGAUAAUGUAUGAAGUGCGUUUAGCAUCCUUGAAGUUGCCUUGCUGUUCUUCUCUGGUUCAACUUUUGCUUUUAUCUUAAUCAAAUUGGAAGGAUAUUGUGAAUUAGAUUACACAAAUGUUUGUGACAAAAUUCAUCACAAAUUGUGUAGGGAAAGGAUAUCAGGUUAGACAUGGUGAAUACAGAAAACAUAUUUCUCUCAAAAGCUUGAUACACAGUGCUUUAUUUUAGCUUUGAUGCCUCUACUGUAUCAAUCUGAUUUGUAAAUGAAAUAUGCAAUGGCCAAAUUUUUUGUUCGGGUACAUAGAGAUUAAUUCUUCUUUUCUGACUUGUUCGUUUUUCUAUUGUUAUGAAUAUGCUCUGAUUUCUGAACUUGCUUUGGUGAUUUUGAAGCUACUUAAAAUAGUUAAUAGCAAAGGGAUAGAUAAAAUCCUACAAGUAGCCAUGAGAUAUGUGAUAUUGUUUUAGCCAAGGUACAAUUGAUCUCUACAAUUUUUACUUCUUUGUUGAUUGCUCUAUUGUUUUAUAGUAUCAUAUAGUGCUUCAAGUUCAAGAUUUCAUAAGUUUGUUAGCUGCAAUCAACCUAUCCUCUGUGGUUUUCAUCACAAGUGCCUGACAAUUGAAAAUGUGUUGUUGUUAUCCUUUUAUUUGGAUGGGCUUAUGUAGCUUGUAUACAGAAAAGAAUGCUUCUGGUUCAAUUGAGAUUCAUAUGUGAAAAUUUAUUAGCUCGUAGACGACAAGGCUGUCAAGUGGGCAAAAUGUAGGAAAUUAGAGGAUCACUUCCUGUUUUAAAAUCUCCAAAGACACUGAGUAUCAGAGCUGCUAGAGAUCAUGGUUUAUUUGAAGUUGACGAUUUGAUUUUGUUAUGCAGCCUAUUAGGAUUAAGAUGACAAACCUAUCCGUUCUCGUUUCCCUUUUUCCUCGUAUGUUUGUACAUUGUAAAUAUUUUAUUCAUGAUGUUGGCGAAUCAGAGUUGAUUGUUUGUUCAACUCCUCUUUCAUUUCAUGGUGUGAUGCAGUUAGGUUGCAGCGGCAGUAGUAGUGGGAAGUAGUGUCUGGUGGCAAGGCUGGGUUUGUCUGGAAACUCCAUCGCACUCCGACUUACAUGAUGUAAUGUGAUGGGUACUCCUCUGCUAUUAGUAUUUAUGAAAAUAGAGAAAAAAAUGUCAGUCCGUUUCAUGUAACAACAUCAUGGUGAUGAGUAGAGACCUCGGGUAGAGGCCAUUUUUAACUUGAUUGGUGCAGCCAGCAAGCUGUAGCGUACAAUUGCAUCUGCGAAUUGCCUAAUUAUAUAAUGUGCAGUUCCUUGACUUUUUAACCACUCUUUACUGUCUCCUGCUCUCCCUUCUGCUUGCUGCUGCAGUAUUUUUAUCUUCUAUUAUACCUAGCUCGAAAUUACAGUUGAGAUUCGCCUAGGCUUGAGAUGCAUGCUGGAACUCAGAUCUGUGAUCCCCCGGAAUUCUACCUGUAACGAUGGGUUUACUCGUCCACGUUCCUCACUACAUUCGUCACCUUGGUAACUACUACGAUCACCCUGAUAAGAAAGCUUGGAGGAAGGAUAUAACCCCUCCCAAAGCCAACACCGUUUUGACGGUUCAUCAUAUGGAAAAAGGGUAUCUCCAUAUCACCACCUGAAUUCUGUCCCUAACUGACCAAACCUCACAAACCUGGCACCCAGUAUGGCAAUACAAAUUCCCAUAUCUCUCAGACAAUCAACAACAUUACCAUCUCUCCACUGCAAUGUAAUUCGUAGAGUCCUCCAAGUUCUUGGGCCAUUACCGCACAGGACCUCUCCCCUCAAUAACCAGUACCAUCUUCAGGAGUGAGACGGUGCAAGGAGGCUGGUCUAGAAGUGUCAGCUUCGGCUAAGAAAGGAAAAGGAACUGGGAUGACUAAUUUUGUUCAGUUUCCAAAAGGAAUUAGAUCUGAAGAGGAUUUAACAUUGGUACGGGAUUUAAUUCCGGCGGAAUUGGAACGCAAACAAUCCGCCAGAAUUGAUCAAUUCAUGCUCCCAAUUCCUUGACGGAAAACAACAGUUUUCUGUUUUUACUUGAAGCGAACAGGUGUAGCUGUUGCAGGAAGACAGACAGUUAACACGACGAAGGGGGAGUUGCAACGUGUUUAAUGCCUUGAGAAACCAGCUUCAGAUUUAGGGUAAUUAGGUAAUUUCGGAUAAAAGUUGCUGAUUUGCAUCUACUUUUUCUCCUUGAAAGUUGAAACACUCGUUCACCACAGAAAUCCCAUCAUCCUAUCUUUUUACCAUUUGCCCCUCUUCUCUUCUGCAUGUCCAGAAUGGCCGCUAAUUCCUCCGCCGCCAUCGCUAACACACCCAAGCCUUCCUCCGCCACCAGAUCUCUCAUCCCUCUUCACCGUCCUUCUUUCUCUUUCUCGUCCUUGAGGCCGCCAUCUCAUUGCCCUUCUCUCCACAUCUCUUGCUCCUCCUCCUUCCUCCCCAAAGUCGCCGCCGCCGCCACCGCCACCAACACUGCUUCUCCUCUUACUGUCACCUCUCCUUCUUCCAGAUUCGCCCCUGACGAGCCCCGUAAAGGCGCUGACAUCCUCGUCGAAGCUCUCGAGCGACAAGGGGUUACAGAUGUGUUCGCCUAUCCUGGCGGCGCCUCAAUGGAGAUCCACCAGGCGCUCACUCGCUCCAGAACAAUCCGAAACGUCCUCCCCCGCCACGAGCAAGGCGGAGUUUUCGCCGCCGAAGGCUAUGCUCGUUCAUCCGGUAAGCCUGGCAUCUGUAUUGCUACCUCUGGCCCUGGUGCAACCAAUCUCGUCAGUGGCCUUGCCGAUGCCCUCCUCGACAGUAUCCCCUUAGUCGCCAUUACCGGCCAGGUCCCCCGCCGCAUGAUUGGUACCGACGCCUUUCAGGAGACUCCUAUUGUUGAGGUAACUCGUUCCAUUACCAAGCACAACUACCUGGUGCUUGAUGUGGAUGAUAUACCUAGGGUUGUCAAAGAGGCUUUUCAUUUGGCUACUUCUGGCCGUCCUGGCCCUGUGUUGAUUGACGUUCCUAAGGAUAUUCAGCAGCAAUUAGCUGUUCCUAAUUGGAACUCUCCCAUGAAGUUGCCUGGUUACUUGUCCAGGUUGCCUAAAAAUCCUUGCAGGUCCAAUUUGGAGGUCAUUACUAGGUUCAUUUCCGAGUCUAAGAAACCUGUGCUGUACGUAGGGGGAGGAUGUUUGAAUUCCAGCAACGAAUUGAGCAGGUUUGUUGAGCUAACUGGUAUUCCUGUGGCAAGCACUUUAAUGGGGCUUGGAUCUUAUCCCGUCGGGGAUGACCUUUCAUUGCAAAUGCUUGGCAUGCAUGGAACCGUGUAUGCAAAUUAUGCUGUGGAACACAGUGAUUUACUCUUGGCAUUUGGAGUGAGGUUUGAUGAUCGUGUGACAGGGAAGCUGGAAGCUUUUGCCAGCAGAGCUAAGAUUGUUCACAUUGAUAUUGAUCCUGCUGAGAUUGGGAAGAACAAGCAGCCACAUGCGUCGGUUUGCGGAGAUGUGAAGUUAGCGUUGCAGGGGAUAAAUGAAAUUUUGGAAACAGAGGAAGGGAAGAGUAAGAUGGAUUUUAGUGCCUGGAGGGAAGAGUUGAAUGAACAGAAGUUGAAGCAUCCAUUGACUUACAAGACUUUCGGAGAAGCCAUUCCUCCUCAGCAUGCUAUCGAGGUCCUUGAUGAAUUGACUAAUGGGGAAGCAAUAAUUAGCACUGGGGUUGGACAGCAUCAGAUGUGGGCUGCUCAGUAUUACAAGUACAAGAGACCGCGCCAGUGGUUGACAUCAGGAGGACUCGGGGCUAUGGGUUUUGGACUGCCUGCUGCAAUGGGGGCUGCUGUUGCUAACCCAGGUGCUGUUGUCGUUGAUAUUGACGGUGAUGGGAGUUUCAUGAUGAAUGUUCAAGAGCUGGCAACUAUUCGGGUGGAGAAUUUACCGGUGAAGAUGAUGCUGUUGAAUAAUCAGCACUUGGGUAUGGUGGUACAGUGGGAAGAUCGUUUCUACAAAGCGAAUAGAGCUCACACAUAUCUAGGGGAUCCAGCAAGGGAAUCGGAGAUAUUCCCGAACAUGCUGAAGUUUGCUGAAGGUUGUGGAAUUCCUGCAGCUCGUGUAACAAGAAUAGCAGACCUUAGAGCUGCAAUUCAGACAAUGUUGGACACUCCAGGACCUUACUUGUUGGAUGUGAUUGUGCCUCAUCAAGAGCAUGUUCUGCCCAUGAUCCCUAGUGGUGGUUCGUUCAAAGACUUGAUAACUGAGGGGGAUGGGAGAAGCGAGUACUAGAAAAAUUUCGAGAGAGCCGCGGCGGCAGCAAAUCAAGUUUCCUACUACUAUCAAGUUAUAUCUUCCUUUGAUCAGUUGUUGUACGUACCGGAAAAGUUUUGUUGUUGAAUAAUAAUAAUCUUUCUAAAUGCAUGCUUGCGUCGUUCGUUUUUCCAUCUGAUGGAUAAAACAUAAUCCUAAGUUGUUCUUUCUCUUGUUCGCUUAGUGCUAUCAGGUAGUUUCGUUUGGUUGCUUCUGCCUGUUUUAUUCGCCCGCCGCCCAUCUGAGAAAUGCUUUCUGUUUUGCUGUAUGGAGCAACUUUCUAGAACAAAAACACAAAUGAAGCGAUGUCUGAAAGCUCGUAUGUUUUUUCGCAUACCUGGAUAUGAUGAAUUGAGGAUUUGCAGAUGAGAUGUUGAUGCUAGUUGUACUGUUUGUGUUUGUAAUUUAAGUAAUUCCAUAGCCCGAUUACAGAGACUACAUGAAUUAAGAUCCUACCUAUAGUCUAUAUGAAGUGGUUUUGAUAAUGUGUUAAGACUGGCUCUCUUCUUGAGUGAGGUCUUGGUCGUUGCAGCAGAAAGAAAUAUUCACAAUACAUACAGUACCUCUCGACUAAGAAAUAGCAGCACUGGUUGUGGCGUCGAAGGAUUUCUUCCUAACCAGAAGGCAGGUAAUGGUGCAAGGCUGAGAUUGCGUAUUAUCGGGAGGAGUGCACAAGACAAAGUCUGGGCGGUGGAGCGUGAGGUUCAAUUUAUCCUUGCCUGCAACGAAAGCGGUUGCAUCUAGCAAAACAUGCCACGAGUUGCGAUGAGCUUCCGACACCCAAUGCAUCGAAUAACGGGUGCCAUUGACAUCUGCUGGGUAAGAGAAAAGGCCCUUGAGGCUGUGCUUACACUUCCUCCUGAAAUACUGGCUGAGCUGUGACCCUUUGAUCCUCAAAUCCAACCAAGUCUCUGGUGCCAAUAUGACCUUUGAUUCCUUGUAAGUAGCAAACUCCUUGAUGCAAUCCAUGUCUUCCCCAAGAACGGACAUGUAAAAAUUACCUCUGUAGAAAGGGUAGCUCUCUCCAAUCAACAUCAUGGCAUCUUUGUAGCUUGGGGUGAAAAGAACAAGGUAGUCAUCAUCAGGUAAGCCACAGUGCCUGAGGACUUUGUUCUGGGCCUGAAUUUCAGGUAUGGAGAUGAAACUCCCAGGAAAUGAGGAUUUCAUUGUCAUGAUAUCAAGCAACCUCGAGUUCUCCAACUGGGUCCUAUCCAAAUCAGGGAGAUUGCUCCCAUUGGAAGGGGAUGAGGCAUCCCUUAAACUUACCCGCGGCGAUGAUUUUCGUUUAUCUUCUUUGUCAGCAGCAGCAGCAGCAGCAGGAGGAGGAUCUUCCCCUAUGCAAAGAGUGGAGAGAUCAAUCUUCUCUCCAACAAGGCCUGCAUAUUGUGGGUACUUUGCUACCACAUACUGCUCCACAUACUGCAUUUCUGUUGGAGUUAUUGGACCAGACCACCUCAGAUCCAGCCCUCUCAGAGUCGAUAUCGCUUCUGCCACAAUCUCUGCUGGAAUUACUGUGUGCGCCUUCUGCAGAGGAAUUUUAUUCUUUCAAGUUAGGAUCAUCAUCAUCAUCAUCAUCUUCCUAGUCUAAAAACAUAUAAUAGGUUUCACCUACGUACCUUUAUAACCAUGCUGCUAGGUCUGUUGUUCUCUGUUGAAGGCUUUGCAAUUGAUGCAAAGAGGGACUUGUUGCGUUGACCUUCUCCUGUCACCUGAUUUCCAUGCCCAAAAUUACAUACAUGUCUUUGCAUCUCAAUACUCAGUUUUUUCAUCCAGUUACUGCAAUUGCUUACCUCUGGUCCUCUGUUUGAAAAUUUCCCCUUCCUCAUGCUUCAAUCCUCUGCAAGUCAAGUCAGCAACUUGAAAUUCUUACAGCUCUGCAAAUUCAUCAAGACCCAACAAACAGCUCUUGGUUCUAUUUCUGAGGCAUUUUAUUUAAAAUUGAAACUAGGAAGCUACGAAUAUAGAGACAAUUAAUGGAGAAAGCUCAACUGAAAGUGACAACAACAACAACAGCAUAUAUUCUUUCUUAGCUUACCAAUCAAAAGAUCGGCUUAGCUUACCAAUCAAAUAAAGAUUAUAUGAAUAUAAAUAAUAACCUUGAAAUGGUCAUGUUUGAAAUAUAUUAUUCUAACCAUGGUUAACUCACUACUACUUCCCUUGAUUUAUCUGUCACCACUCACCAGCUAUUCCCGACAAAACAUUGCCUACCAUUUGCUCCUUGAACCUGGGUGUAGAACUUAAGGUUUCCCUACGUUGAAUUGAACUCAUGGAUGUUUCAAAUAUAUGUACUUUUUGAAUUCAUAGAUGAUAUCUUAUGUUAUGUUUUUACCCAAUUUGAUUUUCAUAAUCUACUAGCUCUCUGCCGAGUCGACUGAUUGAAUAGACUUGUGUGUCUUGCUGAAUUUUAUGUUCUUGAAGACUGCUGAAUUUUAAUGAGAAGAUUGGAACAAGAUUAUUUUUGAUUGAUGGCUAUAAACAAGUCAUGUAAUUAUGCAUUAACCUCGGUUACCCCAAAUUUGAGACCUAUACUUUAUACCAAAUUACCCUGCGAUUGUCUUUUCAACUUCAGUCUCAUUCUUUCCAGACAAAAUUGAGAGCUAUAAUUUGAAAAGAAACAUGCUGAAAAGUCACCUUUCUCUACUAAUUUCUAAUUAUUAGAAUUAUAAUGAGCUAGUAGAUUAUUUGAAAAUGAUUCGAUGGGAUAACUAAUUAUAAUCCUCUAAAAUUAGUUACACGAAUAACUAGUUAUAAUCGUUUAAAAUUAGUUAGACGAAUAAUUAAUUAUAAUUAUUUUUAAUGAACUAGUUAUAAUCGUCUAAAAUUUAUUAUCUAACUUAAUAACUAGUUAUAAUCCGACGAGUCUCGGAUAACUUUUCUAGAAAAGUUAAUUCACAACCUGUGUUGGUCUGGAAAAGCCAAUGAACGGAAUACUUUCUCCACUGAAGCUACGUUGAUGUCAAAACCAUAGCUUUGCCCUCCAUACUGCACAUAAAGGUACUCCUUGGGUGAAACAGGCGGUGGUAAAAGCCUAGAUAUUUCCAACAAACGUGAGCAGCUGCUGGGAGGGUAUGUGGCAUUCUCCUCCUUCAAUGAGUAGUAAACAUCGGCUACUAAAAGCCAUAUCAGAUCAGGGUCCAUAGUCGCAAGUGCAUCAAGAGCACUCGCCGAGGCAUCAUGAAGCCCAAUGACGCCGCUGCAAGCUAUCCCAACAACUAGACCGCUCACCUUCUUCAGUACCAGUUCCAAUGCCCUACAACUCCUCUUGCUUCGUGCCAAAUCAGCAACCAUUUUCAGCACCGCAGCCUGGACCUUCAAGUUGGACGUUUCAGCCAUUGAUUCCUCCUCCUUUGCGGCUAAAUUGCUCCUAUAAGGAAGUCGUAGUGUCCUUCUUUCAUCUUUCAAUAAUGGCUUCCUCUGAAACGGAGAUGAGGAAAGAAGCUUCCACAAGCACGGACCAUCAGUGUGGAACCGCCGUGUGAAGAAGUCCCCUCCACAUGUCUGCACCACAUUGGCUAUCACAGUUGCGCAUUUCCUAACUGCCUGUAUAAUAAAUAACCCGUGCAAAACCUAAUCAAUCUUACGAACAGAUAGAUAGAUAUUCAUGUAUGCUAGUAUUUAGUUUCAACAUCGAUUUCAAGUUUAGAGGAUUGUUUCCCAUACCACAGGAUUUUUGUUACGAACGCAAGAAAUCAAGAAUGGCCAUAUCUUAUUCAUUGCUGGAAGCAAUCUGUUCUCGUCAAUCCCUUCAUCGGCCGCAUCAAUAGUAUCCUGAAGCUGAUAAGUUGAAUAUGCUUGCACUACUUCUUCGACUACUUCCUUGGUUUCUUUCUCAUAUUGAUAAGCUUCUUCCACUUUUGCCAGGGAUGCAAUGCCGUCCUAUUAUAAAAACCACAAGUUUAUUCAAACUGAGAAUAGUCAGAAAUGGUAAGAGGAAAAGCAUAUUUUGAAACAGGAUUACCCAUUUCAUAAUUUUGCGCUGACAAUCUAUUCCAUUCUAUAUGUUCCGUAAUAAACUCAAUUCAGCCAGACAUUUGAUGAGUAGAAGGGUAACACAAGGAGAUGAGCAAUUCAAAAAAACAUCUAGUCUAAUUCUAAAGUGACACGACAGCAAUAAGAACUAUAAACAAAACACUGAUACCUGAACUAUAUCCAAUGCCACCAGGCAUGCCGCUUGCUCCAUUGAACCAAGUAGAGGAGUCGCGGAUAAUAAGCAGGAAGCAGCAAUAGAUCCAACUGUACGUCUGUACCUCUUAGAUUCAUUCAACUUGAAGAUUAUACCCUCCCAUUGUUCUACAAGUAAGAUACCACUCAUCAAUCUUUUUCCUGAAGGAAAUUAACAUCGGCAACAUAUUUUCUAAUAAGAACAGCGGUAAGCAGUUGCAGAGAUAAGGACAAUUUGUAACCUGAUUCUCCAUGCCAAGUACCAACAUUGUCAUCACAAGAUGAUGUUGGACCUUUAUUGGAUUGAGCUCUCACUUUCUUCUCCAACCUUGAGACUUUGGACUUCACAUCCUUCAGAUACAAUGCUGCAUUACAUGGCAGUGAUGAAGCCUCAGAUUGUGAUGCCUUGCAAAUUUGUGCUAUGGCCUAAAUUCAUAAGCAUCUAACAUCAGUUAAGCGUUCUUUUCUUUUUUCGAGAAAGAGUUUACAGUUAUCUUUGAAUAGUGUGAGUAAAAGAACAAGUUACAUGAACAAAACCUUUAGGAAAGGAGUGGUCAACUCUGGGUGCUGAUGUCUGCUAAGAAUCUCUAGUUCUCUUGAAACAGAGCCCAUCUGCAGAGUAGUAGAUGAGUGUUAGAAUGGAGGUGGAGACCUAGUUAGAUAAGGAAUCGGUAACACAAAAAAUGUACAAGCAAUAGAUCUUAUCAACGUGAACCCGAAAUCAUUUAGAACUAAGCUUUUGUGAUCCACCGGUUAAAAAGAGAAAAAUAAUAAUAAAAUCAACGCUAUUGAUAGCUAGAUGGCUUAUUUGUUGUAAUAUUUAAAUCAAUGUUAUCGAUAGCUAGAGGGCCAUUCUAUAGGUAAAACAUAUUCAAACAUUAAAAACGUUUAGUUUAACAGUAAAAUAAUCAUAAAGCAGAUGUAGAUACACAUCUAGGUGUACAGCAGUUACAUGUAGAGCAGCUUCUCUAAAUAGCAAAUGGAGCUGCUGCAGCUCGUUAUUUAUAUAUCUUGUAAUCAAAAUGUUGGUACACCUCGUUAUGGUCAAUUUGCGAUGAUAAAAUUUUCCUCUAAUGGUCAAUCCAGUUAAAGUAUAACUGAACUCAAUAUGGAUAGCAUCUUGUUCCCGGUUAUUUUUGUUCCAAAUAUCAACUGCAAUCUACAUUUUGCGAGUCAGCUUACAAAAGAUUUACAUUGUCAGGGUAGCUUUGGAUCUAUCUGUGUACGUAACAGGCAGUACGGUCACAUACGAAAUGGUUGGCAAGACUGAGAUGCGUGAUGGGUUAACUGUUGAAGGAUGCAACGCACAUUUAAUGGACAGAGGAGGACACCACGGUUGCCUAUGUUUCUACUGCUAAUGCUAUCAGUAUAGAGAACCAAGUAAUGCUAUGGUACUUUCUAGGUGACCCAAACUUUAAGAACCUAAAACGUUUGUGCCCUCAUUUGUUUUCCAACAAAAACUCUAGCCAUUAUCAGUGUGAAAUUUGCAAAUUAGCCAAACACACUUGGUGCAUGUAUGCUGGUGUUCUGUACGAACCAUCAUAACCUUUCUGUCAUUCAGUCAUAUUUGGGCAACCCUAAAUCGCCAUUGAUGGUUUAUUACCUUCAUAAAUGAUCACACAAAAAUACCACCAUAUGUAGUACACUGCACUACCUAUUUAGGAAAGCAAAAUUUUUUUUUUAAUUAUAGGAAACUUAAUCAUGGGGACACAUGUAUCCACGACCAUGGGGUUAUUCAGAGUAGUUCUUGCACGGAUACACCCAGCAGAGUUGGACUGCAGAGAAAAAAAACAGGCACUAGAUAGAGGUAGCUAGGGCUCUUAUCUUCACUAACCAUAUGCCAAAAUACUUAAGGGGUGAUGUUGAUCUGACAGCUACUAACAUCAUCAAUAAACACUCCUCACACCUUCCUCCAAACUCGAUAUCCCAUCCCCAUUCCAUGACAUCAGAUCUACCGUUAAAAUAUUCAGAUAUACUGUAUUUAUCCAUAUUGCCCCUCCACAUAGAACCAAACUUAAUCCUCGUGCUCUCAAAUAUCUAAAGGUUAAAAGUCAAGAGUGUAGUAGAUGUCUACUGUGAUAGUAAGGAUGGAACUAAGCACAACAAGAUAGAUCUCGGUAACGAAGCUAAUAUAUCUGAGAGGGAAUACUAAUAAAAUAAUAAUAGUCAUAUUCUUAAACCAAAUAAGGUAUGUAGAAGAAGUAAUACUAUUCAUGUCGUAAUAAUCCAGCCUGAUAAUUGGAGUGUAAGGAUGGAGUAUUCCCGUACCGUUUCCUCCAAAAGGGGCAGUACUUUAUUAGUCACUCCAAUAUAAGAAAGCAUAGAAGCAAGCACGUUCGGGACUUGUGGGUUAAGAUCCAAGUGACGUAAUUGCCGACAUAUUGAAUCUACAACAUAAUCGGCAUUGGCCAAGACCAACUGCCCAACCUAAAUAUAUGGAUACAGAAACAGUCAUUGAUAAAGAAAUUUGUAAAAGAAAAAUGGAAGCAAGUUGCAAACGAACUUACUGUUGGAUGGCCACAGGUAGCAGAAAGAACAUGCAGGACAGUAUCAGAAGCAGUUCUGACUUGGAUAUCAGCGGAUAUGAGGCUCUCAAGCAGCAGAUAAAGAGUAGAGUGAAGAAAUCCACUGGAGGAGAAAUCAUUUCCAAGGCAGGUCGCAAAGAUGCCAAUUCCAUCAAUAGCAACCUACACGACCAAGAAGGCAGGCGAAAAGUUCAACAAAUGAAGAUGUAAGAUGCAACAAAUGAAGAUAAGCCAAUAUAAAUUAUAUCAAUUCCUUCCCAAGAUGUACCUGUUGUAGGGCAGCUGCAUCUUGGAAUAAGUGCAAGUUAACUUCAACUUCCUCGUCACAUUGUCCCACUAGAUCCCUGUGAUCUAUGGGUAAAUUCCACAAUUCAGAUGAUAGAUACUCAUGUAAGACUCUCCCAAUACAAUCAAUUAAGUGACUCUUUUUGACAGUUUGUUGUGAGGCCUUCCAAACAGAAGCCAUACUUUCUCUGCUCUGAAGUGAAGGCGGCCAAGCACUAGAACCUCUCACAUCAGACAGUACAACUUCUCCCCCCUUCUCCCUGGAAUUUUGAAACAACAUAGUAAUGCCUUCAACUGCUUUAUCAGAUACACCAAAUAUCAUCUCAUUUAGAAUGCAGGCCGAAGUGCUCGCCUGACGUAUUAACUUUCCAGCCCAAGUUCCAUUAUACAAAUACUGCCAGCCGUCAUUUGCAUCUCUGGAGUGAACCUCAGAAACUAAUCUGCGUAUAUGACCUAGUGGUAUAUCUGUAAUAGCAACCGUAUGCCCUUCAUGGUGGUCUAGCAACAAGAGAGAGUAACUGAAAGUAAGCAAAAAGAGGAAAAACAAUUCAGUUAAAGCAAAAACUGGAGCAAUUAAGAGCUGCAUUGACCUGCUAACAAAGAUAAGCCUACUAGUCUGAGUACUCCAGCCAGUGUGUCAUAUAACUUCUUAUAACCCACAUGGACAAACCAAGGUGGUAUUCGUGGAAGUUCAUAACUGUGCCCGAGAGUUUCAAAAGGAUACUCAAUUUGUUUCCUAUGAAUAAAACUUGUAUCGGACACAUUUACAAGAGACUGAUCUUUGAGAUUCUGGUAACUAGGGGCAAGAGAACCACAUCUCAACUCCAUAAUAGAUGGAAGAAAACUAAUGGAUGAUGUCCUUGUCAAUGUGUCCUUAUCAAGAGCGCCAGCAUAUACAGAACUCGGACUCAGACAGAGGGAAAACACAUCCAAGAGUCUUGCUGCAGUAACCUACGAAGACCAGUAGCGAAAAUCAGACAAUACACGCAGAAAGUGAUAAGAUAAUAUAUUGUAGAAAAUCAUUACAGAUAAGUUAAGAGUUAUUUGUUGUUGUUAAUUAUCGUGUAUAGUAUUGGAAUUUUUUAUGAAUGGUGUAGGGUCCUAUACAAAUGGUAUGGAACACUCUUAAGCUACUAUUAUCGUUGUAAACCAUGAUAGGGCAAAACAUGUUGAAACCGGUUACCACUUUAUUACUAAGAUAUCGACAAAUGGAGUUGUGCAGUUAGAGUACGUCUUGUCAAGGCAACAAACAGCUAAUGUGUCCAUGAAAGACAUUACUAGAAACCGUGUUUAACAAACUUAGGAUGCUUAACAUCUAUAUUGCCAGGGAGCUAGUAGUUAGGUCUCCUAUUUUGUAGCUAGCCUGUUUAGUAGUUAGCUUACUUAAGGAUUCCUACUUAUGGGAAGAGUCCCUUGUUCUCUUGUAUAAAUAAGAAGGUUGUCUAACCCUAAGGUAAUACGACGGUACAGAAUUCCCCUACACUUUCUUCUCUCUAGGUCUAACGUAUUUCAUACAUGGUUUCAAUCAAGACAAACAAACUAAAAUUUGGAUCUUGAUGUAAGGGGCGCAACAAAACAAUAAAUAAGCACCACAACCAAGUGCAUUCUCUGAGCACAUACCGGAUUUUGGAGGUGGUCCAAAACAAAUAGAGGACCAGAAUAGUAAAUGACAACUAAUAAUUGUUGUGCAUGGAAGAGAGCCACUGAUUCGUCACCACCAAGUGCUACCUUUGGAAGCUUUUCAAUUAUCCUAAUUCAAGAGAAGGGCAUAACACAGAAAGUAAGCAAAAAAUACAAUCUAACAAGCUUAACAUAUAACCCUUUGAAAAUCGAAUACAAACCUAGCAAAAAUCGGACCAAUAUCAGCUUUUACUGAAUGCUUUCCGCACGAUGAGAAUAAGAACUCAAGGAACUCCUUGGCAGAUCCAGCAACAUCUUCAGAGUCAUCAACAACCAAGACCAAAAGGCACUCCUACACGAUCAAAGUACAUAUGUAUCAAAUCCACACGAUGGACAGCAUUUGAUAACCAUCAAAAAGAUAUUAAAACAACUACUAACGACAGAUAUGUACAAUUCCGAACUCCAACAACGAAAAGGACAUAUUUUAUUAGCUUACUAGUAGCAUAGAUCUGCUUUCCUUCAAAGUAGAACUGCACCUUAAUAUUAAUCCUUUGAUGGCAGCCAGUAGUCCCCAUCUCAACUUAUUCACAGGAUGAACACAGAUCUAACAAGUGAAGAUUUUGAAACAGUUAAAAGCGUGCAAAGUUGAUCAAGUAAAAUAUUUUGGUCCAGUUUGAUGCUCUGUCUGUCCAAUUACUACAUAACCUUACAUGUGGAAAUGUGGCACUCAACAAUUUAACCACAUGCGCUGAAGUUUGCCUUAACCAAUCUCUUGUUCGCUCAACAUGCAAUGAUCCUGUGUACCUGCUUCUUUUCAUGCCCCUACUCAUUUCGUAUUCAGACGCACGAGUUACUGAGUUUUCCAGAUCUACUAUUGACUCAUCAGCCAUAUUCUUCAUAUGCCCCUGACUGCUGACUGGUAAGUGACGGAGUUGAUCCAAUAUGGACUCGCCAGAUCUAUUACUGUCCGAACUUGCAUCAGCUGGGAGAUUCUCGGUUAUAAUGGAGCUUACAUUGGAAACACCAUCAAGCACUAUCAUUAGAUACUCUGCCAACGCUCUUAUUGCUUGAUCAGUAGCAUCUGUGCUUCCAGCUGCUCCACUCAUCAUAGUUUUUGAGCCAUGCAAAACUUUUGAAAAUUGGCUGACAACACCAGGUAAAAAGAAAGCCAAUGCAUCUGCAGAACCGACCUGCACAGUAAAGCUUUGUGAAUGUUACACAAUUUUGGAAAGAGAAACUGAGAAAAGGUUAGGUAAUCCUUCAGCACGGAAGAUUCCCAACUUUAGGACUCCCAAAAGUUUGGAGACAGACGCCUUAUGCAUAAGUCAGAUACUAAGAAUAUAGCAAGUUACCUUGGCUACAAGCACACGUAAGGUAUAAAAGGCUUCAACACGGAGCCUUGCACUGCCUCGAUGUCCUCGGGCAGCCUCACUGUCUGCUGCCUUAACAGAAAACCCAAAGGUCACUCACAAAAAUAUAGCAUAUAAUGCAUCUCAUAAGAUUCCUCCUAAGCAAUUGACCAGGAAAACAACAACAAAAACAGAAAGAAAAGGUAAGUGCAAAAACACCUUGAGUAGCAGUGACAGCAAGUGUCCGACGGCGGCAGAAGCGGCAUGUGAUUGGAGAAAUGCAAUCACACACUCUUUCACUUCUGUAUCAUAACUCAAAGGCUUGGACAGAGACCAGUGGAGCUCCCCAUUCUCCAACAAUGCUGGCAUACCAUGCGUUUGUCUGCAUGAACAAGUUUCAUCUGCACACGGACUUAAGCCCAUAAGUAAUUUCCUUAAACACUUGAUUACGCCCUCACGAAAUUCUUCUGAAGCCUCUGAUGGAGACAGCAACGCGGCAUUAGUCAAUUUCUUCAUCACAACAACCAUCUGAUCACAUCAUCACAAACUGAUUGGUCAUUCAAAAGUUAAAAAAAUACCGUUUCAGAAGCAAGAACACAUGAUUUGAUCCAACAGCGGGCUCCAUCACAUAGAUAGAAAAUUACUAAGUUGAAGCAAAACAUGAAUCAAAACUUUAAGUAACCUGGUCGACCGAUCCAAAACGACAUUUCUGGAGAAGCUCCUCCAAGCACUGCAGCACACCUUCCGCCACUUUGUCGCUAACACUAUCAGACGAUUGUUGCGGAUUGAAGGUCACCGAAUACUUCUGAGGAUCAUCCUUAUUGGACGAUCUGCAACUGACCGCAGCGUCAAGUAGGAGCAGCAACGGGAACGAGGUGUAGCUGAAACAAUUCGAUGAGUUCAAAGAUACAGAUGCGUAUUAGAUGAGUUCAAAGAUGCAGAUACGCUAAUUCAUAUUCACUAUACCCAUCAUAUUAAAGAGUCGUUACUUUACCAACAAAAAAAACAGAGUCGUGUAUUUCAAAUUCUAAAAUAGACAUUGUGUUGCAGGAAACUCACUCGAAGAAAGACUGCAAAUCACUAGAUGAACAGCUGCGGAGGAGUUGGAGCAGUGAAGGUAAUGCAGAGGAAGAAACUUUGUUAGGGUUUUGGAGAAGCUGAAGGAGCUCUAGACAGCAAGGUUUUAGCCGGGAGAAGACGCUGCUUUGGUAUAGCAUACGAUCGUUUUCCAUUUGUGAAGUAGGACGUCUUAACCGAAGAUUCUCUGGGGAACUGGAUGGGAGUAGGUGCAGAAAGAAAGAAGCGCGAUUGCACUGGUUGAGUUUGCAAUUCCUCAAGAAACAGUUGAAGAGAAGUGGGAUGUAAUCGUGACUGGGUUCUUUUCGCGGAAAAAACAAACUGGUCGAGGAACUGCAAGUUUAACCCACUGACUCAACUCAACUCAACCCAACCCAACCCAACCCAACCCAACUCAACUCAACUAGUGUUUAAUAAUAUAUAUAUAAUUGAGUUAUUUUAUAACUCAAUAGAGUUGAUUUUUAAUUAGGCUGUGUUUGACAAUACAAAAUAUAACUUUUAAAAAUAUUAAGUUGAAAUAGUGGAAAUAGUUAGAGUUGUAGAAUGAACAUUGAAUCCGUUAAAAAGGUUUCACAUCACUUUUUGUAUAUUUCUUUUUAAAAAUGACCCAAAAGUCAUAAAGUAUUAGCUUUUUAUCAAUUUAUAUACGACUUAUGUAUAAUUUAGUGUAUAUCACGAUCUAUUGAAGUCGUUUACGAAUAUAGCACAUUGUUAACUUUCGACGUUAGUCUAUUUAUAUGGUAUUGAUGGAGUUUACUUACUGUAUCUAUCAGCCUAGUUGACUGCGUAUUUAAUAAUUUUUUUAAUAAUAUAUUAAAAUAAAUAUUACCUUAACUUUUCCACUAAUUACACUGCCACUAUACAGGAAUGAAGUGUAGAUGGUUCAAUAAUGAGUACAAUAGACAAGAAUGUGACUUGGAUAGCAAAUAUGUACUUGCAUAACAAAUUUUACUUCUACUUGAUAUCCAAAUAAAAAUUGAACCUUUAAAUUUCACUCAAUAUCAAUAUAUUUUGAAUAUUAUGAUAUUCAAUAUAAUGCGUAUCAAACAAAUCCGUAAUAAUUUGGCUAAAAAAACCAAAAAAUAUUCAUUGAAAUCAAUUAAUUUUUAUAAUUUCUUCAUUUUGCUUAAAUUAUAAUUUAAGAUUUUGAAACUUAUCAUCAGAGAUGGUCUAAUAUUACGAGUAAUAUUGUGAAAUGAUGUUUUGGGUCCGGAUUGGACUCUGAGUUGUAGGGACACAUAUACAUAAUGGGCUGGAUUAACUACCGCCAUUAAUUUCAGUCCAGAGUUUGGAUUUCGCAGAAGAGGUCCGCAGUUGGCACGUAGCCUUUUUAUUCUUCUUCUCUUUUUUUUUAUGACUUUAUUGUUUGUCUUAGCCUAGUAGGGUUUCGGAGAACUGAGGAAGCGGUGAAGGAAGGGUUUUAGGAAUUCUAAACGCAGCAACGACUAGGCACACCACACGUACUUUCCGAUGGAUCCUUCGCUUAAUUCCGCUGAAAUGCAGCAUUUUCUCAACGUAAGCUUGCUUACCUUUCCCCAAUUUGUUUAGCUAUUGCUGCUUGUGUUUACCUAUUGCAGCGUUGCAGUUUCCCUUUACAAGCUGAAUUUCUUAUUCUAACAGGGCUUCUGUUUUUCAUGUAUCUGAUGGAUUUUUUGGUUGUUUAUUACCCUUAUCUCUGUUCACGUUCUCUGUUUAACCCUUCUGGUUACGUUAUUGGAAUGGCUAAACUCGGUGCUUUGUGAAAAGUGAUCAGAAAUUAGGGGAAAUAUAAUUUGGCAUUUUAAUUAUUAGGGAUUAGUAGUAAUGGGGUUUGGUAUUAUGGAUCAAGGGUUUCACAAUCCUUACGGAGUUGUAUAAGGUUUUGCAAGGGUUCUGUGGGAAAUAAGGUUUUGCCAUGAGUUAUAUCUUAUUGUCAUAAUUUACCAAGCUGUGUUUGUAUGGUAUGAAUUGCAGCAAGAAAAGGAAAGAGCAAUGAUGAAUGAGAUGGUGGCGAAGCUGACUAAUGUGUGCUGGGAUAAGUGCAUUACUAGCACACCUGGAAACAAGUUUGGCUCAAAUGAAUCAGCUUGCCUUUCCAAUUGUGCUCAACGUUAUUUGGAUUUGAGCGUAAUCAUCAUGAAACGUUUCCAGUCCAUGCAGUGACAGAUUGGUAUGUGCUAGCUUAGUCAUAGAGUACUAGAUUGUAAGGGCUUGCUUUCUGGACAAAAACCAUCUACUAUGUGUAACUCGUGAAUCAUCGGCAUCAUUUUUUUAUGGGAACUCAUAUUUCUAUGUAUUGGAAUUUUGUACUACUUAUUUUUCUCAGUAUUCUGCUGGUUCUGCAAUUGGUUGUUGGUGGAAAGUACUGCUAAGUCAGGUGUAGAGGCAUUGACCUGUACUGCAGUACCCUUCAGGGUACGGUCCUAAGAACACCGUUGGAGUGCACUACUUUGAUUACAGGAAAAGGAUGACGGUAAUCAGAAUCCUUGUUCCAAACAAUUGAGGCAAGGUUAAACUGCAUUUGGGAUUUCAAAUUAUGGCCCUCUCCGUUAACAGAUGCUCUUCAUUGUAUAACUUCAAUUUUGUUUUCAUGCUUCACAACCUAUCAGUAGUGCUGCCUUGCAAACACCAAUCCAGAACACAUCUGUUUGGUACUCGUUUGGGUACUAUUGCUCUGCCAAUCUUUGUAGGUUUUAAUACUUGAACUCGGUGUUCUUAAGACGUCCUUACUAGACCAUCUGGUCUAACCUUAAAAGUCUCGAGCCUUUCCCCAGACUGGUCUGGCUUGAGGAAAUUAUGCAUACAGCCCCUGAUUGCUCUUCAAAACCAGCUUCGCCCUUGAAAUGAAACCCCCCAAAAUACCUUUCAAGCCUAAAUUAACGUCUUCGAAGGUCAACCACUCAAAUCGAUUAUAGAACUGGUUGCUCUUUUGAAAUUCGAAAGCUGAUCAAUGAUAGGAGGAUCAUUGCCAGUAUAAAUUUUUUUGUUGGAGGUGGAAUCUCUGGUAGGAAUUCAUUCUAAUGUUUUGCUUGGUCAUGAAACCAAAUUUUAGUUUGGGUUAGUUUUCGAAAAUAGCGACCUGUGACCUAAAACAAUCUGUCUAAAUUGACCCGACUGCCGGGUCUAAUAAAACAUCUGCCAUUGCUAUGGCUCCGUAUAUGUAAAGAGUAGCGUUGUAUCAACACAAUCAAGACAGACCAAAUCGAGCGUUGCUGAUGAUACAUGCCCACAGUUUGUAUAGGCAUCCAUGGCACGACGGAAGUAACUUACUUACAAGCCAAACUUGUAAAAUCGUGUGACAGCAAUAGAUAAGAGAUGAAGGGGCCAAAAGAAGUCAAUAGGAAAAAUAAAAAAACAUUGUGGAUGGACUGCACAAGUUAACCAUAAUAUUUUUCCAAUACUGGAUCAGUCUCGGCUAGGCUCGGUUCUUUGAUUUCUGUGCGUUUGUACAGGUUCUUGCCAUUGCAGUAUUUACCCAUCUCUAUCUUUUCCUUUCUGAGGAUGUUCAGUCUCCUGUGUCAACUUAUCAUCAUUGUCAUUCUCAUCAGCGAGUUGCUUCUGUGGUUCCCCAACUCCAGCUCCAUCUGGGGAUGAGAAGUCUAAUCUCCCACUUGUUCUUCCCAAACUAGACCUCCUAGAACACGACAAUGGGUUAUGCACAUCCAUACCUUGUCUAGGUUCUGGAGAUGAAACGUCACCAUUCAAUGAUUCAUCACCGUUCUCGUUCUCGCUGUAAACAAGACUUUGAUCACCUCUCCCAUGUCCCUGGUAAUCAUCUCUUCUGUCAGAUACGUCCCAUCCUGGCUUCAUUCCUAGCUCCAAGUCUCCGGAUGACUUGUCCAUAUCCAUAAUGGCAUACGUAGUACCACGGCCCAUACUGAUAAGUCUAGGGGGUAGUCGUACAGCCUUUGGAACUCUUUCCCUGAAGUUGUUCUUCGAUGGGGGAAUCCUUGAGAAGAAUACCUCCUUGAAGUUGUUGACAAACCCUCGAUCAAAUGGGUUUGGCAGACCAUCAUACCGGUAUCUGAAAUUCUCAUACGUAGACUGGCGACAAAACAUCAUGUAAACAAGGAAGGGCAAUGGGUAAGUGAGAAGCAAAUCAAGGAAGUUGAUUGAGCAGCAAGAGAAGAGAAGAGAUUGAUUGAUUGAUUGGUUGAUGUUACCUGGUUUCUACUGAUGAGAUAGGUGUGGAACACGGUGAGUCCACCAACGAACCAAACUGAAACAAAGGUGUAAACUAGUAGAGCAAUGGAGGCAGGGGUUUUAGUCAUGGCUCUCCAUAUUGUUAUGUGUUCACUGUCUGCUAUCCUCCUGAUGUACACCCAACUGAACCCAUGUACGUACAAGCAGAGAAGCGUGGUUGUGAACACAAACAUGUAGAAGAAGCGAUAAUUUCGCUACACAUGGAAGAAGAAGAAGAAGAAGAAAAAAAUUCAAAAUCAGCGACUACCAGUAACCAUGAGCAACUAAACACAAUUCAAAAAAUAGGGAAAUCAUUCAUUAUUAACAAAGUCAGGUGGAAAAGUAGUAUGUACCAAUCCGAUGCACUGACCAACCCAAGGGCAGUGAUGGUCGAAUCUUUGAACACAGUUGUUGCAAAUUGAGCAGUGAGAACAGCGUGGUGGUCUAUAUAGCAUGCAGGUAUCACAGUACUUGGUUUUCACAACUAUUCCAUUCACAACAACAUCUUUAGUUCGGGGUAACCGGAAAGGUGGGGUGCUUUCUGUUUCAACCCCUUGAUUACUUUCCGGCUCUGGUGGCCGAGAGUUCCUAGGUAUUAUACCAGGAUCUCUUCCUGCUGUUAAUAGCAGAAACAGCAAGUCCUGCAAAUAACAAAAGAAGAGGAAAUAUGUUGUGUAUCAGUUUGAGAUAGCAGCAGCAGCAGCAGCAGCAGCAGAUGAGAAACCCAAAAUAAAAGACUUACCAGAGCAGUCAAUACAGAAAUGAUGACAAGUAUUGAUAUUCCAGAAUGAUGAGGGAAGUCAUCCAUCAACUUGCGUCCCACGAAGACGCAAAAUACAACAGCAGGUGCACCAAUCAGUAACAUAGUUAGCGUUAGUGAUCUUGCAUCUGGCCCGAAUAUAAGCCUACCACCAAAAACAAAUAUCUGCACACACAACACAAGAAGAAUCAUUUCACACCUUUUUCUGCAUAACCACCAUUAAAAUGUUUCACAAAUCCAAUGCUCUUCUAUUAUUUGCUUCUAUCACUACAGACUAGAUAGAAUCUAAUAUCCAAGCAUGGAUCCAAAUUCAGAAGAACCCAGAAAGAUUAUUCAUUCAUAAUAUGAUAUAUAAAAACUAACAGCACCCAAUCGGGAUAUAAACAGCAAGAUUCAAACUUCGCCAUCUAAAAUUAGCAUCAUAUCUAACACCCAGAAACCCAAUUAGCCAAAGGAUGAAUUAUUAUUAUUAUAUACAAAAGGGAUGAAAACACAGAGAAACAGAAGGAUCAUUGUCACUGACAUUACUCCCUUUCCAAGCCUGAUAAACUCUAGGCCGAUUCUUGUCAUGAUGAUGAUGAUCAUCAUCAUCAACAACGGAAUUGGCAGCAUCAGCAGCAGCAGGAUCGUUUGAAAGCAUUGGAGCCGGAUACAUCUCCCUCUCUCUCAUCAUCUCGUCUUCACUUUUCUGUUACAAAUGGUAGAUUGAUUCCCUUUUCUCCUGCGUCUACAUACAAGAACACAAAUGAAAAAGCAAUCAGCCACGCAAAGGGUCAACAGAGAGACAAGACGGAAAGAGGGUCAAACUGUGUAGGUUUCUCUCUCUAUUAUUUCAAUUUCACAGAUUCACUACUACUAUUACGACUAUUAGCAAGUUGUGCGGAAAAGUGGCUGAGAAAGGUCUAAUGCAAUUG